rnacentral:lncRNA from 1 species
CCUCUCUCCCUUCUAACAUGUUACAUUGAAGUUGUAAAGGCACCUCCAAAGCUGAUCCUCAAAACGGCCCCACUAUUUGUUCGCGGACUAAUUCAAACUAGUCCACGGACAUUGAUGCAGAAGCCAACAAUCCAAUCAUGUCCCCAAAAUCUCGGCCUUUUUCUUCUUCUAAUUUUGCAACACUUAAAUAAUUAUAAAAACAUAAUUCAUCCAAAUAAUAUGCAAAUAUCCCUAGUACAACAAUAAUUCAAAUGUAAACAUUACAUCCGAGAUAACCGGCUACUCAACAAGUUUUUUCGAAUUCAUCGGAUCCAAAUUCAACGAUACUAGAGUCAAAACCAACACAUGUCGUCCCGCACAUAGUUUCCCUUGAGCUUCGUCCAAGAAUGUGUGGGCGUAAAUGGCCUACCCUCGCUCAUGUCAUAUAACAUGACAACACAUCGAGACUAUACAACAUGAUGAUUAUUAAGUUGGAACAUUGAGUGAAUCAAUGAAUUGACUAACAUAUAGAGGAACAAGAGGAAAAUGAUUUCCAUGGUUGACGAGCCCGAUGGCCUCAUUUGUCUCCACUCGUGCAACCUCAUGUCAAAGCUUUAUGAUAGAGCUGGAGAUGGUGUGCCACCGACGCAAUAAUAACUUCGUUGCGCGUUCAUGGAUGACGUGCAUGUCAUAGGGAGCGAAGUUUUUUUGCUGACCAAACGAAAUAUGCAUCGCACAACUCCUCCUCCUCGACACGACCAACAGCGCAUCGCACAACUCCUCCUCCUCGAGCACCGAGUACCCCGCCAUCUCUAGAAAACAAAAGUAAGUUUAACAAGAAAAAAAUUAAUGGCAUUUGAUCGAACACCUAUCGGACGCGCCACCACAACCCAAGUUAAUCAUAUUCUUACAUGCGUCGUUGCAAAAUAAGAAGGAAAAGUGACAUAUGCUCUCUUUGCAAAGAAGAAAUGUUAUGGGCUCUAUCCCACCAGCAAGGAACACCAUCACUUCUAGCAAUUCGGGCCUACUUCUAUUUUUCCUACGUAAUUUUGUGGACUAAUCAGUCAAACAGAAUAAGAUGACAACUAGAGUAGAAAUUAUCUCCGGUUCAAAAUGAAAUUCUACCACACAAUAUGUCAGGACAUCCUUGUAGAUUUUCUGCUCAAACCAAUGAAUUGUGCAAAGUUUUGCAUUUGAUGUGAAUGGCUAUUAGGCAACAUCUUUCACACGAUGAUAGGUGAUAUCGAUAUUAAACAGCAAAAAAUUACCGAUUGGAUAUCCAAUAGACACGAUGCACAUGGCAGUGUUAAUUAACUAUACAACUUCACCGCACCACCACAACAUAAACAAAGAUGACCAAAUAACUCCCUCAAGUACUAAAUCAAGAUCAAAGCCCGAUUAACGAUGUCGAUCGAGUUAAACAUGUGCCGCUUUCUCAGCGUUCAAGGGAGACCAAAAGCGUACACAUACAUAAACAAAUGAGAUCGAAAUGCCCUAAUUAAGUAAGGAGCAAUGACCUCUUUGUAGAAGCUAACAUAGAGCUAGGUAAUCGUGGCUCAUGGUGAAUGGAAGGGACACUGCUUGUUUCACCCCUCCCCAUGCUCUGCCUUGGUAGUUGGAUCCCACAGGUCAGAUCGGCUAUCAAAUAUCGCCAAAGAAGAAAGAAUCUACAAUGGUAUAUGUGACAUCAUAUGUCCCAAACGGUGUUUUUCUGAAGACCAGAUCCAGUGUUUUUCUUGAAGCCUAGCCUCAUUUGUAGUAGGUUUUAUUCCGUGCCGAAAUGGACUACCCAAUCAAAGAUCGACGACGACGGUCUGACAUUGCUGGGCUUCGUCGGGUUGAAAGACCCGUGCCGUCCAGAGGUCAAGGCCGCCAUUGAAGCUUGCACCAAGCGCUGGAGCCGCUAACCGCCCUCAUCGCGGGACGCGUCGGCGACCAUCUCGGCUCGUGGCGGCGUGGCCGCGCUCCUCGUGGCCUGUGCAGCCGGCACGCCGGCCUCGCAGGCCGCAGCCACGGGCGUGCUCCGGAACAUUGCCGCGUUCCGGGACCUGCUCCAGGGCGAGCGCGCGGGGGGCGGAGUGUCAGCCAGCCGAAGCGGGGCGCAGCCGGAGUGGAGGCGUGGAGGGGCGCCAUGCACAUGGGCACGGGGGAGCGGCCAUAAUGUUUAAGAAUUCGUCCGAUUAACCAGUUAACUUACCAGUUAAUCGCUACUCUUAGGAUGACCGAAUAGAAUAACACCUAUUCAUCGCGUUAAUUUGCCAUGCCGAUUAAUUGGUCAGUUAGACCAAUUAAUGAGUUGGCAUACAGAUUAAUUAGUUGCCAAUUAUUCACUACUGGCCUAUUAACUGAUGGGCAAACGAAUCCCAAAAUUUUGACACAUGAUGCCUCCCAACCCCUCUUUCUACUAAAUACCUAGGGUUUGGCCCUUCGCGCGCUUCCUCAUGCUCCUUUCGUCCCUACCUAACCUGGCUGAUGGCUAGUCGUGUUCUCACCGAUGCCAGUCUCCACACUACACCUGAAAGAUCUAGUUGCUCCGUCAUUCUGGUCGCUUGCCUCGACCCCACCCCCCUUGGACACUCCCCAUCCUCUCCCAUGGGAUGCUCCCCAAUCUCUUCCUCAAUGACGUGACACGCAAGGUACUACCAUCCUCCCCCAUACCUUACAUGAGAAUCCACGGAUAUCGGCGGCAUGGCGCUGUGGGGACUCGGCGUCCGAUGCGUGGAGAUGGACUCGCGCAGGAGGAGGUAGCUAUCUGGCGUCAUGGUGACGUCAAUGGCAGAGUGGCUACACAAGGUAGAAGCCUCAAUAUUUGCUCUGAAGACGGACCGGUGGAAGAUGACGGCGAUAGCACACGAGUGCGUCAGAUCGGUUUUGUGCCCUAGACCCGGUAUGUGGCAGAUGGCUUGACCGGAUCUGCUGGGGCUUCCGACUUUUGAUGUUAGGCUUAGGUAAGUGAUCUGGUUAUGUGGCCCAGCUAGCACCCCUUCAUCAUAUGGAUAGGAGUAGCGACAGAUGUUGCGAAGAUGGCGGAUUCAGACAUAUUGUUGUAAUACUUUGUAAGGUCCUCGAGAAUAAUAAAUAAAAUGGCCGCAUGCAUCUCCCUGAUGCAGAGGCCGGGGGUCAUCCUCCUUUUCUAAAAAAAAAUAAAAAAAUAUAUAUAUUAGUAGAUUAUGAAUUAUAAUUUUGUGAAUGGAUGGAUGGAACUGUUGGUUUUGGUUGUUAUCUGUCGUAUAUUAUGUGAUGUAUGUUAGCAAGUAUAUGGAUAAAUUUAAAUGUUUAAUUGCUCAUUUUGAAUUUUGAGAUUUUAUAUAUUUAGAUGUAUAAUGAUUAUUAAUUUUACCUCUUAUCUAUUUUUUAUAUGCCUAUAAUAGAAUAUUUUGGUAUAUUAGAUAGCUAGGUGCAUAGAAUUAUGGUAUGAUACAUAAAAAAUUUAGAUAUAAGUUGGCAAGUUUCUGUUUAAUCUACCGAUUAAUCCAGUUAAUAGGCCGAUUCACCGUUUAGUCGCUACUCUCAAGCCGACCGAGCAGCUACCAGUUACCGAUUUUUAAACAAUGGCUGGCGUACACAGACUGACAUGCGGGCCCGGGAAGUCAGUAAAACGGUUAAAAACGUUAAAUCGGGCAGUUAAAACUUUUGAUAGUUUUUUCCCAUUGAUUAUGAAGAUUUUGAUAGUUUUUCGCAUAAAAUAGUAUUGCGGUAGCUACUGGACACGGUUGCGCGAAUUGUGGUAGUUUUUGACAAUUUACUUAAUUUGUGGAUUUACACCGCCAGCCGAUGUGCCAAAAGAAAACAAAUCUGAUACAAACUGUCAAUAAAUAAGAAAAAAAUACCCCACCCUAAUUCAAAAUGAAAUCUCCUUUUAAGGACAUUUUUGUUUUUUUUUCUUACACUAAAAUGAAUGAUUCACACAUAGCUUUAGCUACACAUUUUACGGCGAAUGACGAUUACAAAAACAUCUUAUCAGCGAUGAUAGGUGAGAUCUACAUCGAACCACGAAGACUACCACUCGAACAUCCAACAAAUACAUCACACAUGCUGGUGUUAACAUACCAACCUCACCACAAGAUAAAACAAGGAUGACAAACAAACUCACACAAGUUGGAAUACAUAAGGCGCAACCAAAUCAAGAUCGAGGCCUAAUUAACCACUUUCUUGGAGUUCGAAGGAGGCCAAAAGUGUACCCACAUAAUGUAAACAAAUGAGACCGAGAUGCCCCAAUUAAGCAAGGGGCAGUGGCCUAUUUGUGGAAGCUAAGCCAGGGGUACAACGUAACAGUGGCUCAUGGCGUACAGAAGAGACACUUGUGGCUUCACCCCUGCCCAUAAAACGCCUCUUGCGUUCUUAAUCUGACCCCUAAUAUAACCCAUGCAUCAAGCUUGCGUUCAAACCUCAAGCCAAUUCUUUAUACAUAAAUGGACCACAAGCCAGUAGUUUAUUGGAGAAUUCUACAGUAUGUGUGUGCAACUGAAUAGAGAUGAUUUGCAUUGUUGACUCAGGGUUAACUUAAUCUAAUUAGCUUCUGUGUGUACAGAAGAAAGAGAAGGUCAAACCCCAACGUGCCAGGAAAUUUGGUUGGUUACUUACGUAGUACCAUGAAUUUUCUUAAUACCCUGAUACUACUUAGUUGUGGCUUGUGAUCAGAAUUAUACAAGUUCCCUAUACAUAAUAGUAUAUUCAAAAAACGGAGAGCAUCCUAUGAAAGCAAUCAUUCGUGGUCCAACGGAUACCAUUUUUCUCCACUUUGUUCCCUUGCUGUAGAGAGAAAACAACCCAUCAAAAUACAGUGCAUGAUUAAUCACAAGCAACACGAAAACCAUAUCAUACUUGAUCAUGCAUUCCAUCGCCCCGUCCCAUAAAAUUGGAACCGCAAAGAAGAACCCGCGGAACAAGUUCCUCGAUAAUCCGCGUCUCUUUCUUCGCUAACAUCAUUCUUAUAUUUUCCGUCUAACGCGAUAAAAUUGAAACGAUACAGAGAGGAACCCGCGGAACAGUUCUUCGACGGUUUGCGUCGCUUUCUCUGCCUCUUUCCACAGCAUCUCCCCCCUGUCCACGCCGCGCGCCUAUUUGCGUACAUCUGUGCGUGUAUGAUUGGCCAAGGUCCCAAAGGGAGGCAUAAAAGGAUUGCUGUUGCGUCGCUUGAAAUCAAAGCUAGGCCGUUGUUGAAUUGUUACCCUUUCCAUAAAAAUAUAUUCUUUCUCGGGUUGCAGAUCUUGACGUCUCUGUGAUGAGCUAGCCAAGCUAGCUAGCUUGCUCAUGGUCAGAUUCAGAAGGAGGCUCCCGUCCCCUGUUUCGGCCGUGCCUCCGUGGUUUUUUAAUGGCUCCUGCUCCUGCUUUCGUGGCGAUCUCAUCUGGUCAUCUGGACAUCUGGUCAUGUUGUGCAGUCAAGCAAGCAUCUGCCAUGAAUGGGAUUAGAAAAUUUGUGAAGUCUAGCAGAAGAAUAUGCCAGCUCUGUUCUGAUGCUAAUUGAGCUGUAGUGGUUGUGAGUAAAUUAUAUGGUGAAGUACUCUCAGGAGAAUGGAAAAAGCUAUCAGGAGUCAGGAGACCACUUCAAGUCAAGAAUGGCAAGAAAUUAAUCCUACCAGUACUUCAUAUAUUUUUUCCUCCCUCGAUACACAAAAUGAUGAAAUUUACUUGCCUAAACUGUUGACUUAGGCUAAUCUCCACUUGUUUUUCUUCUCCUUCUCUUUUAUGGGGGAAAGUUUACGCCCGGCCUCUGCACCAACAACGAGGGAUGAACACAACCACUCGUUCCCUCCUUUCGCUUUCGAGAAGGAGAAAGAGAUGCCACUCGUGGAGAUCCAGGGAAUGAAGCAUGCAAAGCAGAGGCGCAAGCCGUAAUUUUCAGAAUUUAGUCAAUAGCAGCUGCAGAGCACUUUGUGUGGCAGCGACGCAAACAGAACUUCGGCGUAGGACUGCACCCGUUUCAAGGCCUUAAUUUCGACAUAUGCUCCAAAGACAAGCUAGUAGAGUAGAAUCAGCUGUUGGUCGAAGUUAUGUCGGCCAGAUCGAUGUGAAUUCUAGCAAAGGAAACCCAAGAAGAGGGCCAAAAGUUUCCUCUUUCAUGUGAUGAACAUGCAUGAGAACAACAAGACUAGCUAGUCCAUAAAGGAAUCCAACAUGCGCCUUUGAUUGUUCUCUUGUAUGUGUGUUUAUGUUGGACAAAAUAUUCACAUGACAAUUUGCAAGUAUUUCUCAAAAAAAUCUGUAAAUAAUACCUGCACACAAUCAACGUAACAAGAUUAUCAGUACUUUCGUAGAAAAAAUCAGACAUGCUCUAUUAAAUAUAGUACAAGUUAUGGCAUUUUUUUAGAACGGAUGGAGUAGUUUGCAAGUGCACUUCCAAGGCUUUUUAAAACAACGAAAAAUCGAUGCUCCAUGACGGAGAUAAUUUAACAUGAAGUGUUAAAGACCAGACUAAUUCAUCAGAUGGUGUGAACCAGCAACAACUUUAAUCUUUUGCCGACGUUAAUUAACUAAGGCAGUGGAUCGAAGUCGACCGACGAGUAAACCAGGUAGAAGCAAACAAGGGUGACACCAGCUGCUGCUACAUGUUAAAGACGAAGGAGGAGAAAGCAACGUGUUAAUUUGCAUCCCAUACCAUAAAACAAUGACCGCCCAACGCCUCGUCGACCACAGCAAACUAAUCAUGCACACGCUUUACCAAACGGCUGAUAGCAACGUCAAAACGUGCCCGCCUUCCCCAAUCGCCAUUGCUAUGCUAACUGGCCUAAGCUAUGUGGCUACUUCUGCUUGUCAACGGCGACCAAUCAUGGCCACAAAGUACAGCAAUGCCACAACCCCACCACUUGCAACCCUCAACCCCCCCAACUAAUCAUCACCAAGAACUCCACAACUUAAGCACCCAAAUCCGAACACCUUAGGAGUCAAUGAGUGAUUGUUACAUACCAUCAUUUGUUUAUAGUUAACUAAGCACAUAGCUAACUGAUGAGCUUAUCGACAAUAGGGUUUAGGAAGACCGCUUUCGACCAGUGGCUGGCAAUCUUGGCCCACAUACGCGGGGUAGCAAGGCUCUUGACUUCUUGAGCCUAAAUUGGCAUAUUCGAUGUUUGGUCCCAACGUCGUCUCAUACGCGGAAGGCGUUUAUUUAGUGUAAGUGAUUUGUUUACAUUUGCCCUCGCUUUUCUCAUAACCCAAUAGUCAGAUUUGCCACUCAAACAUGUGUAUCUACACAAGGAGAGAGAGAGAGAGUAGAGGACACCACAAUUGCAUCCAAAUUUGAGAGAGCCAAAAUAUGUAAAAAAAAGUUAUAGCAUGCAAGAUUAACUAGAAAACACCACAAUUGCAUCCAAAUUCACAUAAAUCCAACACUUUGCAUAUGUUUUCACAAAGGACCUCCGGCUCAACUUUACCUUUUGCAGAAACCAUUGAUGCCUCUCUAAAACUUGAUGGUACUCGCUUCUUUUAAAAAAAGAGCGUGCAAUAGUUUUCUUAAAAGUCAAAGCUUCGCAAGCUUUGACCAAGUUAAUAAAGAAAAAAUAUAUCCAUGACGAGUCUAAUGGUAUACAUUUGAUAUUCUAGAUGUUUUUAUUUUUUUUCCAUGAACUACACCAAAGUUUUACAAAGUUUAACUAUGAAAAAUAACAAUCUAAUAUGCCCUCAGGAUGGAUGGAUUAGCAAAUAUGCAAGCGCAUCCACAGCCGAUCCCCUCAAAUUAACCCGGUAGACGCCCCGAUCACUAAACGGACAUGAGAGAGAAGGAAAAAAACCGACCCGAUCAGAUCCCUUGUUUUGUCCUCAUAUACAUGUCCGAGUAUAUGUAAAACCUCAUACUCAGCCCAUAGGCAGGGGUCAUAUGAGGAGCGUCCGGUCUUGUCUGUCAGGUCAGUUCCCACAUAGGAUUUGACUCAUCGUAGACCAUAUUUUCUCUUACUUUAUUCUUUUUUCAUUUUCUUUCUUUUCGUCUCGCUAAUCAUAUGCAUGUGACUAGACAUAUAGAGAGAGAAAAAAUGAGGUCAUGGCUACACGCAUUGAUACAUAAGGGCUUAAAACCGAACGCACACGAGACUGAGUAAACUUGUCCGCGGAUGUUUGAGGGUCAAUUUUGCCCAGCCCGUUCUACAUAGUAUUAUUUUUGCAUAAACAUAGAAACCUUGUUUACAAUCUACUCCCUUCACUCCUAAAUAUAAGUCUUUUAAAAACAUCCAUUAAAAAACUAUAUACAAAGCAAAAUGAGUGCAUCUACAAUCUAAAGUUUGUAUAUAUACAUUCAUAUAUAGUCUUUUAGUGAAACCUUAAAAAGGCUCGUAGUAUUUAGGAAUGAAGGGAGUACUAAAAGACGGUGUAUCUAUUUUACCCCCACCCAAAAAAAAAAGACGGUGUAUUUAAUGAGAUGAGAAGAAAAUGAGCCCAAGCAAGUGAAUGUUUCUGGCAGGCGCUAGUGCGGGGUGAAAAGCAAGAUCGAUUCCCCUGGUGGCUAGAGAGGACGCUGCUUGCUAUUUGCCUCCUUUCCCUAUACGGGUAUAUAUACACCAGGAAAAGUCGGCCACGACCUCCACCCAAUCACCAGCUGACACUCUCCCCUCCCCCAUUUCCUCUCCCCUUGCCCGCGGAGAUCCAUCCCCCUCUUUUCCAGCUCCUGCUCAGGCGAGACACACACACACACACACACAGAGAGAAGCUCGCCGGCGAGGAAGCUGAGACCGAGUACAGCAGCCCCAGCAAGCAAGGACCGACGGAGGGAGGCCGCCUUUUUCCUUCGUCCUCCAGCCCAUCCACCAGGGGAUCGGCAGGAGGUCAGUGGUUUCCUCGAUUCCCUCUUCUCGCCCCCCCACGUGUUCUUCGGCCGCCGUGCCGGUCGCGAAAUUUCGCUCCUUUUCCUGCCGAAUUCGCAGGAGGUGGGCGUCAAUUUAGCUUUCGGGCGGGGUGAUUCCGGGUUCCGGUUGGUUGGUGUUCAUUCCGGGGGCGUGGUGGUAGCACUGCCGUUCUUGAAGACGAAUCCCGGCCCUGCUGCUUGCUCGUCAAUCGUGUCCUACAGCCACAAAGAUGAAAGAUUCCGUCGGCGGCCGGCCUUUUCCCCCCCAAAUCUCCCCGCCAAUUCCAUGCCCGCCUUAUCCGAUUCACAUCGGAGAUCAGAGGGGGAUCAGUCGUCUUGCCAACCAACAAAAUCUUGAGCUUGUGCACUGUCGUCCGAAUCCCAGCUUCUUUUUUUGUUAGAUGCCCAGCGAUAACCAAUCGCACCUCUGUAGCUGAAGCUGUGUGAUUUUUCUUCUCCUUCUUGCAGGUGAGGUGAGCGGAGCUGAGCGGCGAUGAUGACGAGGGAGUCGUGGAUGGAGGUGCUGCCGCCGACGGCGAUGGGCCACUACGUCGGGCCGCGGGGCUGGUUCGCGCCGCCGCCGCGGGCAUGGACGGCCGACGAGAACAAGCAGUUCGAGCGGGCGCUGGCCGGGCUCGACCUGCGCCGCCCGGACUGGGACAAGGUGGCGCACGCCACCGGCAAGACGGUCGUCGAGGUCAUGGACCACUUCAAGAGCCUCGAGCUCGACGUCCGCCAGAUCGAGUCCGGCAUGGUGCCCUUCCCCGGCUACGGCCCCGGCGCCGGCGGCGGUGGACCGGCGGCCGCCUUCACCCUGCAGUGGGACGGCAGCGGGGGCCACGCCGGGGCCGGGGACUUCCGGCACGGGUACCGGUUCGGCGGCUGCGGCGGCGGGAGGCGGCACGGCGGCCGCACGCCGGAGCAGGAGAGGAAGAAGGGGGUGCCGUGGACCGAGGACGAGCACAAGUGAGUAGUACUAGUACCACCACCGCGAUUCUUGACUGCAACUCCAUGUGAGAGUGAUUGCUCUGCUCCAUCCAUGUCAUGCACAAGUCUAGUUUUAGCGAUAUCAAUUUUCUUUCUUGAAUUCACCAUCAAUCAACAGGCUUUACAUCAUCAGAUGGCUAUGCCGGCAUUUAAAACUUGCCAAAUCGGAAGAAUAGUUCACUUCAACCAUGGAGGAACAAGAACCGCUAUCUGAAACUGAAUUAAUUGUCUUUGCUCACUAGGAACUGAUGAGACAGUCACAUGUAGCAUGAUGUGUGAUGGUGUCUUGUAGCCUGAUGUAGAACAAGAAUUCAUGAUCCAUACUAGUUGCUGAGGCUGAUCAUGCUUUGUUCUUUGGUGUCAUGUAGCCUGAUGUAGAGCUGUAGUUCAUGAUCAAUACUACUGGUUGCUGAAGCUGAUCAUAUGCCUAUGUUCUUCUGUCCAGGUUGUUCCUCCUAGGCCUGAAGAAGUACGGCAAAGGGGACUGGAGGAACAUUUCGCGCAACUUCGUGCAGACGAGGACGCCGACGCAGGUGGCCAGCCACGCGCAGAAGUACUUCAUCAGGCUCAGCUCCGGUGGAGGCAAGGACAAGAGGAGGUCGAGCAUCCACGACAUCACCACGGUGCACCUGACCGACGACCAGCCUCCCUCGCCGUCCCAGUCAUCCAUGAUCACCCAGUCCAGCGCACCGGCUCCGAGCUCAGCAACAGGGCAGUUCUCGCUGCCACCCGACACCAAGCAGCACGGCGGAGCGAAUGCGCCAUACAACUCGCCGAGCCGGACGAUGGGGAUGCCGAGCUAUGGCAUGGGUUUGCAAGAUCAGGGUCUUCAGUGUGGUCCUCUACAUGAUCAGCUGGCCGCGAACCGGAGUAUGUUGUAUUAGAAGAUGCAACCGUUCGAUCCAUUUCAACGAAAACCGACCAGAAGCCUAGUGUAAUAUGGCCUUUGCUGUAGCUUCACUGCCUGUAUUAUUAUUGGAGUAAGUAAUUGAUUAUGGGGAUUUUUCAGAACAUAGCAGAGAGAGAGGUAUGAUGCUGGUGAUGCUUGGUACUAGUCCAUAAUUUCUGGUGUGGAUACUGAGAAUGUAAGGGAAAAGAUUGUCAAGAACCUGCUUGAUGCUGUAGUAUCUUGAGACGAGCAGACAGGGAAUACUAGUGCUCAGUACUGAUCAUGCACAUUGUCAAGUGGACUUGUUUUCAAUCUUCUUGGAUCCUGCUUUCUGGUCAGCUCUCAUGUUAUUGGAAACCCUACUCCUCAUGCAACAUCUCACACAUACAUACCUAUCCACAUCUAUCAUUUAUCCAUUCAUUCAAGCAUAUAUAACCGUGCCUCGGAUGUUUACGAGUGUAAUUUUUCGGAUAAACCAAAAUGAGUUUGCAGUGAGUCACCCAGCAUWUWGUACCUGCCUUGCUCACCUGGUYACCAACUUUUUAACUGAUUGCAUCUCCAUCUUUUUCCAACCUUGUGGAUUGACCGUUGCAUUGUUUGUGUGCAAUUAGGUCCUUUAAAAAAACAGGAAAAUAUUCUCUUGUAUAGAUCUCUACUACUACUAAUACUGAUGAUGAUGAUGCUGGAUCCACCAAGCAAUGGAAUUGAAAAUGAGUCAGACUUGCACUAGCUUUGGCAUCUCAUGCUUUGGCUGCCUCCUUUUUCCAUCAACUUCUGCAAAAUCUUUCCCUGCCUCCUUUUUGGCCCUGUUCAUCUUUCCCUCAUUGAGAAAAGGCAGAGCAUCCACAGAUAUGAGGCAGAUCCCUCCCUCUCCCCGUGACAAGCAGUAGAGAAUGGCACAAAACGUUUUGUUUUUUGGCCAACUUGUGUGCUGGGUGCUUGUGCUUUUCUGCCUUACCUUUUCUGCAAGUUGCAGUGCAGAGACACAAAACCACUCACUCAGCUCAGCUCAGCUCACCUCUCUGAUGAGGAUGGUGAUGGUGAUGAUCAUGAUGGAGGUGAGGCACUGUUGUGUUGUGUGUCAUUAGAAGCUUCUGGGUGUGAUGGAUGUGGUUGCUGCUGCUUCAAGCAGCAUUUCUUCAGGCUUGUUGCCUUUCCUUGUCACAUGUAUGUUACCAUUCUUUUCUUUCUGAUGUAGUAUCAUGUAGCAAUGCAUUCUUUUCCAAAUUAUCGAUAGAGACAUGACCAAUCAGAGUGCAAAUCAUGGUUUACGUCGACGAUAUUCUUACCAUGAAACAUGUGUUUCCGUUACUUUUGCUGUCAAUUUUAAACGGCUUCAGCCUCACGGAGACGGGGGCGGAUCGGUAAACCCCCGUGCCUCUGGGUCUUGACAAUCUGAGGUGACUUUUAACAGCUUAACUUGCGUCUGCACAUAGUUUUUGACGUUUGUAUUUGACAACAAAAGCAAUCCUUUUCUACACAGGAUAAAAAAGCUCACUCUUAUUUCUGAACCCGAAGACGAGAGCCUUACAAGGAAACAAAUCUACAGUAAUGGUUAAAGUGUCAGACCGAUGAACCAUGCGCAUCCAGGAAACAGAAAGUUGGUGAGCUUUGUGAUGCGUUGCACAUCUGGCAACAAUGCAGCAACCAGGAUCUGAGAUGAACCGGAACUCAUCAGGAAGGACAGAUGGGUAGGCAGGCAGGAAUCAGUACUGUGGCAUUCCAAGAAUGGAAAGGCCUCGAUGACUCUGAUGAACAUGAUGAUCAUGAUCUGUAACUAACUAACUAACUAACUAACUAACGCGGCUCACCAAAUGGACGGCAUCAAAUGUCCGCGGACACAUUUCUGGAUUAAUUUUUACCCAGCAAAAUCUUUACGACGGAUGCCUAUUUGGCAUCAUGGCCGUGCUGCUGUUACCAUAUAACAUGUGUUUCCGUUAACUGUUUUCUUGUCAUUCACAAAAUGCGGAAACAUCAUUCUGACACUGUAACACAGGAUCCAGAUCACGAAAUUGCAUUUCAAUUAUUUGCGAAAGGAUAUCAAUUGCUAGAACCCUCGAUAAAAGAAAGAGAUGCUGUGUAUGAAUCACGAAACAUCAACUUCUUCUUCUUUUUUUCCAGCCGGUGCGUUGCCAGGAGGAUUAGUUCUGGAAAAAAAAAAGAAGUUGGUGAAGUUUCCGACGACAGACAAGUUGCACUGCACAACCUGCUGGCAACGCUGCUGUACUACAGCAACCAGUAUCUGAAUCAGAUGGGCAGCAGAGCAGGCAAUGUGAAAGCACUCAUCAGGGAUUGGAGACAGAUGGGUAGGUACGCAGGCAGGAGGCAGUAACGGUAGCACUCCUGGUGUAGAAAGUCAUCAAUCACUCUGAUGAACAUGACGAUUUUGAUCUCAAACCAACUAGUAAUAAUUAACUGAAUUGCCAAGGACAUCCAGUUCCCGACUGAAUCAAGUAGCACUGCAGCAUUGAAAGAAGUGGCCGAAAGAGGCUAAAUAUAGCAGCAGCAGCAGCAUUGAAAUUAUUGGUACUAGUGCGAAAUAGCUGCACUGGCAUUCAGGUCGAGUUGUUUCGCCGAAAAGAUUCAGGUUGAGUUCAGCGGGAACGAAAGAGGCUUGAUUCUUUCGGCAUCAAUCGUCGACGAAUCGGAGAAGAACAAAUGGCAUGGUUUGUUGAUUGAUUGAGCAGAGGUUGGAUCUGGUUCGGGCGGAGGCGUCGGCAGGGGACCUGCAUGCUGCCGGAAUGGGGCAGGCAACUUGGCCGGCCAUCUUGUUGGCUCCUCCUGCAACUGCAAACCGCGCCAAGGCACUGAUGGAAGUUGGUCGUGGUGAAAGGUGCUGCUGCCGUUCGUCGUCGCCGUCGCCGUCGCCGUCGCCGUGCGAAUCACAAGUGCGGCGACAGGCCAUGUGCGGUGCGGGGCAGAGGCAGGCGAAUGGACGGACGGAGGAUUCAUCACACUUGUUUGCGUGCGUGUGCCACACCCACACGGGGUGAGGAGGUUCAGCAGACUUUCAUCUUUUUCUUCUUAUUCUUCUUCUUCUUAGUUUAACUAGCAAACGUGCCCGUACGUUGCAACGGAAAAAGAGAAAACAUCCCUAAUAUAUCCUAGAAAAAUAACCUCAUACACACCCGACGCAUCAACAAAUCCCUUCAAAUGUUUCACAAUGUCAUACGUGAAACAACAUGAUAAGUGAUGUUGUGCGAAGACAUAAAGGUUGGAUAAUUUAUAAUUCUAUUAAUUAGUGUAUUAAGUGUGUGUGUAAUUUAUUAGACAUAAAAAAUAAUUGUCCUUUUCAAAAUAUAAUAGUGUAUCUUAAACAUAAUUUUAAAAAUAAUUAACAUGCGGGGUAAUAGCAUAUUUAGAAUCUACCUAUUUUCUGAAGAAUUUUUAUAUAUAAUAUGAUUUUUUUAGGAUUGGAAUCUGUGAAAAGAAAAAGAAAGAUUAAAACUAUAGUAGGUGGGCCGAAACUGUAAAAAAGGGAGUAACCGGAUUCAAACUUGGGUCUCAUAAGUAGAGACGUAAGACUGGAGCCACUGCGCUACCUUACUGCCUCUGAAACUUUGCCUUCAAUCCCAUAACACAAAUCCGACAACUACAUAAGCAGGAGGCCGCGGGCGAGCGGCGACGGCGUGGACGGCAGGUUGAUUUCGGGAAAGUACAAUGGGUUUUCUGUAAAAUUACAAAAAACGAUUCGUUUUCUCACUUAAAUCCGGACUGCGGGUUGAUUUCAGGGAACUACAGGGGGUUUUCCCGUGCGUUGCAACGGGAAAAACAUAAUUUUAAAUGGUCAUAGCCAUAUUUUGUUGUAUCAUCGACAUACACUAUCACUCCUAAUUUCAUGAAAUCAUGAAGAAUUUUUGAAAUCAUGACGAGUUUUUAAAACUCGUGCACAUGUUUGAAGCAAUGAAAAAUUUCAAAUUCAUGAACACCUAUACAAAUUUUUGAAUACUUUCUAAAAUCAAGAACAUUUUUGAAUUCAUGAACAUUUUAUACUAUUUGCAAACAUUUAAAAAAUAAGUAUGGACAUAAACAAUCAGAUUAAAAAAAGAUGAGUCAUCUUCAACUCCAAAUAAAAAAAAUAGACUUGUGCAUAGUUUGAAGAGCAAACAUAUUUUUUCUUAGAAGGAAAAGAGUAAACACAUGUGUGAUGCAGCCACGCUAGCUAGUUAACAUGUCGGCUGGCUAGAAGAAACCAGCAGCCUGGCUCGUGCUCGCUCAUAGUCUUAUCUUCGUCGUUUACUUUUCUAAUAUUCCACGAAGCCUUCCACAUCCCGACACUGAGAUGGGCAGCCCCUGCCUCUUCGAUCACGCCCUGUCCCCUACCCUACCAAGCUCUAGCACGGACGGGAUCACCCCUCCCUUCCAUUCGGGACGGCAUCCCCAUGCCGUGGUGGUGGAGCCCCUCCUCCCCGGUUAGUGGCUGGAGGCGACGGGGCCUGCAGGCUAUGGCUUCUUCCUCUCCUCGCGCGCCCCCUUGGCCUGAUUUCGCUCGCCCCCACCCAAUUAUGCAUCGAUGCCGCCUUGGUCCGGCACGUCGAAGCCAGCGGCCAGCCAGGGUUGCUCCCCUCCGGCAUCUCCUUUUCCCCUAGCCUCCUCUUUCUAGUGGCUCAACCUUCGUUAGUUGGACAACACGAGUGAGCUUAGCCAUUUUAAAUGUCACCAAUCAAACAUAUGAAACGUGUAUUCUCUUAAACUGUGCCACUGUGGCACUACAAAACUAAAAAAAAUGGGUCUUCUCAAACUUGCUAUAUCCACCACCCAAUUAUCGAUUUGCCCACUCUAUUAAGGAAGUAGAAUAGUUGGCACAUAUCCAAGCAGUAUGCUCUACGUUGUCCUUACUAUUAGGAGGACCAGCAUGAUUGCAGGCCAGAUCGACGCUUACAAAAGUACUUGGUUUUCGUCCGCAUAUCGAAAGUGGAAUUAAUCAUUUGUGCAAAACAUAAACUCAAAGCUAGCUAGCUGUUCGCUUCUUCGGGCGCGGUAAAAACAUGGCAUUGCUUAUGAACAACUGCCAAUUCUGCAAAAUUGUCUGAACUUACGGUUGUCAACAUCAAGCCAAGAAGGUAUCGCGUGCCACUCGGUCCAAUCUUCUUGAGCAUGAUAGCAGCCAAGAAAUGCAAAGAUUUCAGCGUGCUCUUCCUCCGCUUCGUCGUCCCGGCCAACCGGCCAUCCGUGCCGUUGUGACCCAGCCUCUCCCCAUUCCUGCCCAAUGCAUCGUCACCAUCAUUGGCAGCGGCCUCCGGACGGCCUCUCCUCCUUUGGCCUCGGCCCGACCGCGCGUACGCCAACGCCCCGCCGACGACCAGCGCGCCGGAGACAACCGCCAGCGUCCUCGUGCCUCCACCCAAAAUCGACAACCAUCAAGAUUCCAAAUAUCGGUUAGAAAGGACGAGACUUUGGUGUUGGAAAGCCACGCCAUCUGGUGCAGUCGGGCUCCGGGCUCACGAUCUGGCUAGCUACAAAGCCGGAUGUACAUUGAGGCUGUUAGUGCAUUGAGGUGAGCUGCGUACGUGUGUAUAGGGAGACUGAGUCGGGGUUAGUUGGCAUCGUGGCGUGGGUAGCACAAGGAUGGAGUACGUGCUCUAGUGGGUGUGUGUUCCCGGCCUAUAAAAGCCAUUGUACUCCUCAAUUGUAAUGGUGAGCCGUGAUGUAGCCUGUGAAUACAACAAAGGAUUGGGGUGUUCGUGCGCCCACGGCGGCGUUCGUGUGCCGGCCCGGAAAAUCUUGUGUCUUGUGUCUUCUUCUACCUCUAGCCGAGAGUGAGGGAGGGUUGCGGUUCCAACAUUUGGUAUCAUGAGCUUGAUGGUCUUGGGCAUGUUCGCCAUGCCGGAGGCGUGCCAGCGAUGGCGGCAUUCGUCGGCGGCUGCGCGGAGCUCCGAGCCGUGUGUCGGCCUGUGAAGGUGCGCGGCGCGGCGGCUGUCAUGGCGGAUGCGGAGGUGGCGCGCGGUGAGUCCGCGACGAGCACGGCGGACAUGGAGGUCGAGGCGGCGCAACCGGUGCGUGUUAUGGGUGCGCACUGGACGCGUCGGGCGCGUCAGGACCGCGGGAGUGGACUGCGUCGGGGCGCUGGACCUGGUCGCGCAGAUCGCGUACGUGCGCGGCGGGAGCGCGGGCCAGGAGCGCGGGGACGUGGGGAGUGCGCGCGAAGAGCAAGGCGGUCGCGGAGACGAGGAUGUCGCGAAGGACCUGCGUGGUGGCACAGAGGUCGCGGCGCCUCGGCGCGACAACCGCGGUGGCGCGCCGCGCGCCACGGAGACGCAGCGGAGGAGUCCACGGCGCCGAGACGACGUCGACGAGGCAGGGCUCCUGUCGGCAGGCCGUGCAGCGACGUCGUGGCUUAGGGGGAGUGUGUUGGAAUAAGCCACGGCAUCUAGUGCAGUCGGGCUCCGGGCUCACGAUCGGAUGACCGGAUCACCAGGGAGAGUCCGUGGCUGCUACGUCUUGGCUAGCUACAAAGCCGGAUGUAUAUUGAGGCUGUUAGUGCAUGCAGGUGAGCUGCGUAGGUGUGUAUAGGGAGACUGAGUCGGAGUUAGUUGGCAUCGUGGCGUGGGUAGCGCAAGGAUGGAGUACGUUCUCUAGUGGGUGUGUGUUCCCGGCCUAUAAAAGCCAUUGUACUCCUCAGUUGUAAUGGUGAGCCGUGAUGUAGCCUGUGAAUACAACAAAGCAUUGGGGUGUUCGUGCGCCCACGGCGGCGUUCGUGCGCCGGCCCGGAAAAUCUUGUGUCUUGUGUCUUCUUCUACCUCUAGCCGAGAGUGAGGGAGGGCUGCGGUUCCAACAUUUGGAGCCGAGCACGCGCGCAUCUCCGGGACGCGAGCAGCCCGCGGCCACGCUCGGUGAGCUGAGCAGCUGCAGGGACGGCAUCCCUCCCGCCGCCGCCGGUGCCACGAGGCGCGACCUUCCGGGAGCAGCAGGCCAGGCGCACGGCCCGAGGGGGAGAAGAUCUUGUAUGCGCACGACACCUCCGGCGGCGACAUCGCCCUCCUUCAUCGGUUCGCGGAGCUCGGCUGCAAAGACCGGCGAGCGGGCCGCGAGCACGCACCCGUGCGCGGAGACCGUCUCGCCGCCGACCUCGAACACCACAUCGGCGUCCUUCUCGGUCUCGAGGAGCUCUCCCAGGUGCCGGCCCAGGUCGCACGGGGGGCACGGAGACCAAGCCGGUGGUGUACACGGCGCGGAAAUCCUGGACGACGGCGAUGUCGCACCGGAUGGUGAACGAGUCGUUCCUGAGAUGCUCAGAUGCCUCCAGGUCCGUCCUUUUGAUGAACUGCGCCGCGCAGGCCGACAAGCUUCCCGGGGUAUAGCUUCUCACCUUCUCCAGCGAGAGCAACUCAACUUGCUCCGCUUCAGUCCCCGCCUCGCCGGUGAGGCAGAACAAGUGCUGCGACUUCGUACGUGUGGUGGUGGAGAACGCGAAUGGAUAAGCUACCAGUGGAGGAGGACAGGUUUUUUUUUUGCAAAAAUGAAACGUUUUUUUCCACUUAAUGUAGGACCACGGGUUGAUUAGAAAAAACAGGGGGACGUUUUUGUAAAAAUACCACGACGGACGACCAGAAACCCUAUUUGCUUUAUUAUUAUGGAGAGAUAUAUGGAGAAACUCAUUUAUGUUCUACUCCCUCUAUUUACAAAUAUAAGAUGUCUUGAAUAUUUUAAUUUAAACUAUAUAUAGAUGAAUAAACACACUAAAACGCGUCUAAUGCUCGCGCCCCUCAAGCCCCUCCUAACCCUAGGAGCCGUCGCUUUCUAAUCUCCUCACCGGCACCGGAUCGCCGCUAGACAAAGCCUGGCGGUGGAUAAUGGCGGCGGCGGGCCUUUCUCUGUCGUUGCCCUAGGGCAUGCCCGCGGCGGAUUCCCAAGUGCUCCGGCGUGUCCCUUCAUGUGUUUGGUCCCCACCACGGCGAUGAGUUUAUCGGGUGGGGGUGGCUCAGUGCUCCUUCAACCGAGGCCAGUGACCUUCGUCGUGGCCGGUGACGGUGUUGCGCAUCACGAUGGGGUGGAUUGGCAUAUCCCUCCCAUCCCUGCCCGUGAAGGUCUUGGCAAUGGAGGUGUUGUGGCGUCACGUUUGUCUUGACCGGGUCCGGCCCGAUCUGGCCUUUCGGUGGUUGCCGGUGGCAAGGAUGCGGAGGCGCGACUGGCGGUGAAAACCGAGCUGACCUCGUUCAUGGACGACGAUGGCGGCAACUUGGCAUCGUUACCUUGAUGAAGGCAUCGUCUUGUAGUUUUCGCCUCCUCGUUCGGGCUACUUCAGGGGAAAUCCAAGAUCUGGAUUUUUUGGAUCGGAAGAUGACGGCACGCACCGUCGUUCUUCCUCAUGGGGCAUCAUCUUGGAGUAAGCGUUGGUGGGGUCUGAAGGUGGAGCGGUGUGGCAUAUACCACAUCGACGAUGGCGAGUCUCGGUGGCGUGGCGCACCGAGGUCUCGCGACAGAUGCGUGAUGAUGAUCACGCGGAGGGAGGUGACGUUGUUUGGCGGCGUGGCGACGUCGACGACGGGCCAGACAAAGUGAAUGCGUUUGUAAUUGCUCUGAAGAUGGAUCAAUGAAAGACCGUGAUGAAGGCCCUUGUAACAUGUGCAUGCGAUGCCUGGUGAGAGUGCGCCGGACCGAUGUGUUUCCCAUGCCCGACAAUGCAGCUUAGUCGGGGCCGUCGGAUUUAGAAUUUAGUGUGAGGCGUGGGUAUUUUGUUUAGAUAGUGUGCACCCCUUCAUUAACUCAACAGAAGUAACGACGGAUAUUGUUUAGAUGGCAACUUAUGUAUAAACAGAAAGAGUAGUAGAGAUGAGUGGGAAACACAUGUUUCUUUUUUCCCCGCAACGUAAAACAUGUUCCUACUACUUCGGUGCAGUCAUUUAAGAGCAUCUUCAAUAGAUGGUUCAAAUUUUAAUAACGGCCACAUGGGUCAGUCCACCGGCUGCGGCGGCGGCGGAGAAGGCGGCGGGGUCGUCGCCUUCGGCCAUGGCGGCGCCGGACGGCGGGGGGCGGCAGUGGCCGGGCGGGAAGCGGGUGGGAAGACGCGGGCGGGCGGACGACAAGGGAAAUGAAGUGGCGUUUGGGCGUUCGCGGACGGCGACUAAUUUUGGACCAGAUGCACCUCGUGAUGUAAAUUUGCACCGCGAGGUGUUGCGUUUUACAUCAUGAGCAGGCCGCAGUUUUUUUUUUUGCAUAUGGACCGUCUGCUGGAGAACCGUUUUUUGCCUCAGACGGUCCAAAAGUUAAAUAUUUUUCUUUACCUAUUAAUAAAACACCUAUUGCUUCUGUGGUACGUCAUGAAAAUUGCCCCUGAAGUAUGCAUAAAUUACCCACCAUGUCACCGGUAAGUAAUAGAAAACGUUUCACAAAGCGAAAAAUCUCGGACUGGGCCGGCCUUUGUAAAAACCUCAUAUAUUACGCUCUGCAUCUGGGAGAUUAUCCAGCGCACAGUAUGGUCCGGCCCAUGCACAUGCGCCAGUUUUUUUUAGUUUCAUUUAUUUAUUUAUCUUCAGUUUCAUUUAUUUUUCUAUUUUAAAUAAUGUAGAACUUCAAAUAACCUUUAAACUUUUAAUAAACUUGAAAUUUUAAAUCAACAUAUUUAAAAAAUUAAAAUGUUUCUGACUUCAAAAACUGCUCGGAGUUUUUGUAAAAGAUGCUCGCAUAUAAAAUAAAAUGUUUGCAAGUUUGAAAAAAUGUUUGUAAAAUAAGAAAAGUCCAUGAUUUCAAAUCAAACUCCAUGUAUUAAAAAUUAUUAAAAGUAUUUAACAAAAUGCUUUCUAAUUCAAAAUAUGUUAAUGCAUUUAAAAAAUGUCCUGAAAUUCUAAAAAUAGCUAAUGCCUGUUUUGAUAGUUUCUUUUUUAUUUAAAUUUUUCCAUUCCAUUUUUUGUUUACUUCUAAUUUAAAUAAUUUAGAAUUACAAAAGCAUUUGCAUAUUAAAAAAUAGGAAUUUUGAAUUAAAAUGUUGACGAAAACAUAAAAUAUUUGUGGAUUCAAAAAAGGCGCCGGAUUUUUAUAUUUUUUUUGUAAAUCCCAAAACAAUGUCCGUGAAUUGAAUAAAUAUAUUACUGACUUAUAAAAAUGUUUGUUUAUUCAGAAAAACUUCAUGCGUUUCAAAAAUGUUUGUGAAUUUAAAAUAAAAUCCUGCAACAUCAAAAGUUAUGUUCGUAUUUUCUAGAAUUGGUCGUCAAUUCAAAAGAAAAUAUUUAAACCCGUUUGAAAUAUAAAAAAUAUUCACGAUUUUGUAAAUGUUUGUAAAUUAUAAAAAAUGUUCUCAAUUUUAAAAUUGUUCUCAUAUUUGUAAAAUUGUUCAUGAAAGAUCUAAUGUAUGUAAUUAAACAUUAAUGUUUCUAAGUCUUUAUAAAAAUAUACCCGUGUGAUUUUUAAAGAAUUAACUGUUGGAUGGAUCGGAUUAUUAUUGUAUGUUUUCUAAAAAAAAUCUUGAAAUUAAGAAUAAUUCUUUGAGUUACCAAGAUUUUUGACAACCAUGAAUUUUUUUUUUUGAAAAUGUAAAGAUUGCUUCAACUUGUGAAUAAAUUUAAAAGAAGAAACAUUUUUCUUGCAUUUGUGAAUAAAAUUUUAAAAUCAAACGAUGAUGUGUGAACAUAAUGUGUCCAUCAUAAUUGAAGAUUAUGUUUUUUUUUCCGUUACAACGCACGGGCCAUUUUGCUAAUACAUUUAAACGGAGAUGCUCUAACAACCGAUUUGGUCUCACGGGAACGCAGACAGAUAUGAACUGGCUUUAACUUGCAUGUGUGCUUGUUACUGUAGAUUCCUGUAACUUUCAGCUUAUCUUACUUGUGAAACGGUUAAAAGUGUCACACUGAUGAACCUUGUGCGUGCACCGAGGAAGGCUGGGUUCAGAUGGAAAAAGGAGAGCGGAUGAGCAGGCAGGAUUCUAAUUCGUUCUCCUCCCACAGCGUUUGAUACGUCUUAAACAUAUUUUAUUUUUAUUUUUUUAUUUUGAUUUUAUCUUUUAAUUUGUAUGAUUCUAAAAAUAAUCAAUCAUAAUUUCAGCCACCGACAUGUGGGUCGCUGCUACGCAGGCAUGCCACAUGGAUAGGAUGUAUGCCCGAAUAUGAAAGGAAGCCCGUAUUUGCACUGCCAUACAAGUUGAAGCAUGAGUUAAUGCAUUUUAUUAGUUUAAGUGUUAGAACAAGUAUAAUAAGGUACAGUCAGCAGGUUGUAAGGAUUAAAAUACUAUAUUUUUGUUGAGUUGGAUGAGAGAGAAGAGGAGAGAGAAGGGAAGGGGGUUCUUCGUGAAGAGCUAGCUCUAGCACGUGCUCCUAGAUGCUUUGUGAGAAUGAAAGAUGGACCAUAUAUGAUAAAAGUAGUACUCUUUUAUAGCUAACUAUUGUACAAGCUAACUAUAAAAUGAGCUAUAAGAUGGCUUAUAGCCAACAGUUGGCUAUACUAUUAACCAUGCUCUUAAAAUGACAGUGACGAACAAAGUUAAGGCACCCUCAAUGUACUUAACUCACCGGAAAAACAAAUCAUUUUUUGUCACUUACUGAUGACAUUGGUAGAUGAUAGUUUAAGGCCACAGAUUAAUAGUGUAUUGUUAAUGAUUUAUUUAGGGUAUGACUAUAUCUCAUCUAGAUAUGAGAUAAUAUCUCACAUCUAAGUAUUAUUGUCCCUCUUUUUGAAGCGCACUACGUAGCAUCGCCGCACGGCCGACUUCCAGUGCGGCGGCUCGCUAACCGUCCAGUUCAACACACCCACGCGAGAAAAAAGUCAUGGCAGCAUCUCCAAAUCUCCCGACCUAUUGUCUGCUACGGGUUGAAAAGCAAAUCUACAGUAGGAUUUUUUUCUUUUUUUUGCGAAAUCUACAGUAGGAUUGACUCUCAAAGAAAAAUCUGAAGCAGGGUGGGUCCUAGAGAGAUGCUACUUGUAUUAAAUGCUAGUGUACUUGCUUGAUGAUGGCGCACACUGCCCCAUCUCUUGGAAUUUUUAUAUGUGCUAGCCAACUUGCAAUGGUUUGAUGUCCAUGAAAAAGUAUCACUUGAAAAAUAGUUUCUGGCUUGAUGUCCAUGAAAAAAUAUCACUUGAAAAAUAGUUUCUCAGAGAUUUAAAUGUAUAAUUGCCAUAUUUUAGGGAUGCAUUUACCACAAAUUUAAGGUACAAUUGUCAUAUUUUCAGUUUGUGGUUUGUCAGAUAUUUGUGGUAGACUUGUCAAAGUUUCAUUGGUGUGUUUUGAUACAGUUUCCAGUUUUCUAUGGUAAUGAUCAAAUUAUUCAUGUAGCUACCACAUUGUUUUGAUAGUUACCACAAUUUUCACGUGCAACUGCCAAAUUCUUUGAUGUAGCUACCGAGUUUUCCAGAAGUAAAUUGUCAAUUUUUUUUAUGCAGCUACUAGAUUGUUUUGGUAUGGUUACCAGGUUGUUUGAAAGCAAUUGCCAAAUUUCUUGAUUUUAGUUACCAGGCUGUUUUCAUACACUUACCAACUUUUUUCGUGAGCAAUUGCCAGAUUGUUCUAUGCGACUACCAUGUUGUUUUUACAAUAAUUCCCGAUAUUUCUAGACAAUUUUUCAGGCUGUUUAAAAAUAGAGUCACUUGUUUACCAAACGGUUCUUAAAUUUGGUUGUUGUGUAUGUACUCUCGAUCAAUAGAGAUUCGUGCACAAAAGUUAGUGGCUAUCAAGUUGUCCGGCACUACUAAGCGCAUUUGUCAUAUAAGCCGUUUUAAAAAAUUUGUGUCCACCUACCAAACUGAUUACGUUGUUAUCAAGCUCAAUCAUGCAGAUUAUCACACGUUUUGUUCCAUAAAUUGUACAUGUAGCAAUACAUAUGCAAGGAUGUGUGCCCUUAGCAAAAACAUGCGAUUUUACUACUUUAUCAUGUCCCAAACUCCCAGUAAUGGACCAGUGCAUUGUACAUCAACAGCGUUGCGGGGGAGAAAAAAUAAGGCUCUUAAUCACAAGCGUCUGUGUGGAAUCGGACGUGCGCGUGCUGCCGCCGCAUGAGAAAGCAACAAUGCAGCGUGCGCAUAAUAGAUUCCCCCUACUUUGUCUUUCUAGGUUUACGUUGUCUUUGUUUUAGCUCUUUUUAAGGGAAAGUGCUCUUGUUUUAGUUGGGUGGUACAUUGUUGGUUUUUUGGGCUGUAUGAUUGCUUUUUUUACUUGUGAUGACAUGACAUGGGUUGUUUCUCUAUAAAAAGGACACACGAAAAUGACAUGUUUUGUACAUGACUAAUUUUUUUUAUUUAGAAAAUCAAGAACUAAAAAAAUGUGUCUACAAAAUUUUAAAAUAUUUGUAAUAAAAUUUUAAAAGUUGUUGAAAUUUUAAAUUUCCGUGGACCCAAAAAACUCACAAAUUUAAUGCUUGUUGUGUAUUUUGAAAAAAUAACGUUCAUCAUGCAUUUAUAAAUAAUUCAAUGUUAUUUUAAAAAAUGUCAUUGCAUACUUUAAUGCUCAAAGUUGUAUUUAAAAAUGUUCAGAGUAUUUAAACAAAUGUUGUCACCGAAAAAAUGUUCAAUGUUAUUUGAAAAAAUAUUUAUGUUAUAUUUUAAUAAAUGUUUGUCGUUCAUUAUAAAAAUAUUUUAACACUAUUAAGAAAAUGUUCACCUUGUAUUUAGGAAAUCUUUGCAACUGACAAAAAAAUGGGUCAGGCCAAGAGUUACACAUCGAGGGUGGAGUUGCAACUCGAACCAAGAUAUGUCCCAUGCCCCAAAGUUGCGUAUCUGGAGUGAACUAGCAAUUGAAAUACAAAAUGGGAGUUGCGUAUCAAGAGUGAACUUGCAACUGAGACAAAAAUAAAGACGCCCCUCGAGUUGCAUGUGAGGAGACGGAGUUGCAACUGGGACAAGAAGGGUCGGACUCCUAUUGAGUGUCGAGAAUAGACUUGGAGGUAAAAUAAAAAGUGGUUGGGUUGAGUUGCAUAUUGAGGGUGGACAUGCAACUAGAAUAAAAAAAGUGGUCCCUGGUUGCAUGUUAGGUGUGGAGUUGCAACUGGGGACAAAAAUGGCUCACUCUCCCCUCCAGCUGUGUGUCGAGGGUAUACUUGCUAAUCGGACAAAAAAGCCCCCUCCCCCCGUUGCAUGUCGGGGCUGAAGUUACAACUAGGCCAAAAAUGGUUGGGAUUUGAGUUGCGUGUCAAGGGUGGACUUGCAAUAUGGAACAAAAAUGGAUCGAACCCACUCACGUAACAAGGAUGUACUUGCAACUGGAACAAAAAGCCCCCCCCUGAAUUGCAUGUCGAGGAUGGAGUUGCAACUGUGGACAAAAAUGGAUCGCCAUACUCCCUAGUUGUGUGUCAAUGGUGGACUUGGAAUUGGGACAAACAAAUGGGCAGAGUUUAGUUGCAUAUCGAGGGUGGACUUGCAAUUGGAUCAAACAAGGGCCGCCCCCAGUUGCAUGUCGGGGAUGGAGUUGCAACUCUGGAAAAAAGGGUCGGUCCCCCAAUUACCUGUCAAGGAUGAACUUGCGACUGGAACAAAAGUGGCUUGGACUUACUUUUGUGUAUCGAGGAUGGACUUGCAACUUGGACAAAAAAUUGAUCCCCUAGUUACAUGUCAGGGAUGGAGUAAUUAUGGACAAAAAUGGAUCGCCACCCUCCUCAGUUGCGUGUCAAGGGUGGAAUUACAAUUAGGACAAAAGGUGUCACCCCUAGUUGCAUGUCGAGGAUGGAGUUGUAUCUACGACAAAAAAGAUCGGGCUAUCAAUUGCAACUGGAANGAAUUGCAUGUCGAGGAUGGAGUUGCAGCUGUGGAAAAAUGGAUCGCCAUACUCCCUAGUUGUGUGUCAAUGGUGGACUUGGAAUCGGAAAAAUAAAUGGGCAUGGUUUAGUUGCAUAUCAAGGGUGGACUUGCAAUUGGGUCAAAAAAAUGUCGCCCCUAGUUCCAUGUCGGGGAUGGAGUUGCAACUCCGAAAAAGGGUCGGUCCCCCAAUUACGUGUUGAGGAUGAACUUGCGACUAGAACAAAAGUGGCUUGGCCUUAGUUGUGUAUCGAGGGUGGACUUGCAACUAGGACAAAAGGUGGCCCCCUAGUUAUAUGUCGGGGGUGGAGUUGCAACUAUGGACAAAAAUGGAUCGCCACCCUCCUCGGUUGCGAGCCAAGGGUGGACUUGCAAUUAGGAAAAAAGGGUCACCCUAGUUGCAUGUCGGGGAUGGAGUUGCAACUACGACAAAAAGGAUCGGGCUACCAAUUGCACGUCGAAGGUGGACUUGCAACUGGAACAAUAAGUGGGUUGGGCCCGGUUGGAUAUCGAGGAUGGACUUACAAUUGGAACAAAAAAGUCGUCCCUAAUUAUAGGCCGGGGGUAGAGUUGCAACGGGGAAAAAAUGGGAUCGAACCCCUACCCUAGUUGCCUGUCGAGGGUGGGCAUAGAAUUGGAACAGUGAAUGAAUAGAGCCUAGUUCUAUAAUUCAGGUGGAGUUGCAACUGGGACAAAAAAGGUUGACACCCAAUUGCACGUUAGAGGUGGAGUUCCAGCUGGGACAAAAAAGUGUGAGCCCAAUUGCGUGUCGAGAGUGGACUUGCAACUGAGACAAAAAUAAAGACCCCUCUUGAGUUGCAUGUUAGAGGACAGAGUUGCAAAUGGGACAAGAAGGGUCGGACACCCCUUGAGUGUCGAGAAUAGACUUGCAGGCAGAACAAAACGGGUGUUUGGCCGAGUUGCAUAUCGAGGGUGGACUUGCAACUAGAAUAAAAAAAGUGGUCCCCCGGUUGCAUGUUAGGCGUGGAGUUGCAAGUGGGGACACAAAUGGAUCACUCUCCCCUCAAGCUGUGCGUCGAUGAUAGACUUGCUACUCGGACAAAAAAAAACCUCCCCCCCCCGUUGCAUGUUGGGGCUGAAGCUACAACUAGGACAAAAAAUGUCGGGAUUUCAGUUGCGUGUCAAGGGUGGACUUUCAAUCUGAAACAAAAAUAGAUCGAGCUCGGUUGCAUAACAAGGAUGGACUUGCUACUAGAACAAAAAAGCCCCCCCCCCCAAUUGCAUGUCGGGGAUGGAGUUGCAACUGUGGACAAAAAUGUAUCGUCACACUGCCUAGUUGCGUGUCAAUGGUGAACUUGGAAUUGGGAGAAAAUAUGGGCAUGGUUUAGUUGCAUAUCGAGGGUGAACUUGCAAUUUGGUCAAAGAAAGGUCACCCCAAUUGCAUGUUAGGGAUGGAGUUGCAACUGCGGAAAAAGGGUCGGUCCCCCAAUUGCGUGUCGAGGAUGGACUUGCAACUAGAACAAAAGUGGCUUGGGAAUGGUUGUGUAUCGAGGGUGGACUUUCAACUAGGACAAAAAAGUGGUCCCCCAGUUGCAUGUUGGGGGUGGAGUUGCGACUAUGGACAAAAAUGGAUCGCCACCCUCCUUAUUUGCGUGUCAAGGGUGGACUUGCAAUUGGUACAAAAAAGGGUCGCCAGUAGUUGGACGUCGGGGAUGGAGUUGCAACUGCGAGAAAAAGGGUCGUGCCAUCAAUUGCGUGUCGAAGAUGGAUUUGCAACUGGAACACAAGUGGGUUGGAAUCAGUUGGAUAUCGAGGAUGGACUUACAAUUGAAACAAAAAAGUCAUCCUCAAUUGUAGGCCGGGGGUAGAGUUGCAACGAGGACAAAAAUGGAUCGACCCUCUCCCCUAGUUACAUAUCGAGGGUGGACAUAGAAUUGGAACAAUAUGUGGAUAGAGCCUAACUGUGUAAUGUGGGUGGACUUACAACUGGAACAAAAAAGGGUCGACAUCCAAUUGCAUGUUAGAGGUGGAGUUCCAAUUGGGUCGGGCCAAUUGUGUAUCGAGGAUGGACAUGCACGACUUGCAAAUGAGACAAAGAAAAUUGCAUGCCACGGGUUGAGCUGCACCUAGGACAAAAAAAGGUCGAGCCCUCGAAUUGUGUAUUGAGGAUGGACUUGCACCGAGGAGAAUAUAUAUACCACGAAGCUUGUCUCAUGUUAGCGAACGUGAAAGAAAAUAGAUAUAGACAACGACAAGCAAUAGAUCUGACAAGUUAACAAUUAGAACAAUGUGAAUAAGAAUACAUCGGCCGACAACAUGAGAUCAAGAGUUAGCGCGAAAAUUAAAAGAAUAAGACCCCGAAAGAAGACAAACAAAGAUGUCCCCAAAAAUGGUCCAAACAAACAAACACGUUGGAAGGGGUCCGUGCGUGACAAAAACUAACAAUGAUUAAACGUUGGUACGAGAUUUACAACAACAGAUUUAAUGGAUAGGAACUUAGAUGACACACCGUUAAAUCUCAUCUAGAUGACAUUUAGCAAACAAAGGGCCGAAACAAAAUAUUACCAAAAGGAAACAUAUGUUCACAAAUUUAAUAAAUAAUCGUGAAACAAAAAAAUGUUCACAAACUUGAAAAGGUGUUCUUAAAAUUUGUGCACUAGUUGGAAAAAGAUGAAAAAAACAAAUAAGAAGAUUUGUGCACAGCGGGUGGACAGACAAGCAAUUAGAUUCGGAUAAAUUGUGUGUUUAGAAUGUACAUGUAAUAAAGAUGCACAUGCGGACAAGUUGAGUAAUAAAAAUGGACAUGCAAUUAGGUUGAAAUGGAAUAUGUCGUAUACCAAAAUUAAACAUACAAAUGAAUUCAAACAACUUUAUGUGCGUCAAAACUAGACAUGAAACACAUAAUUCCCCUUCAGGUGCUCGCCGUUGCUCUGCCGACUCUUCAUAAUCGACUAAAAGAAGAACGAGACUAAAAACGAUGAAGGAACUUGAAGACAAUGCAUCCUCGUGCCUUGUAUUGUGUUAAUGACCCACGUACAAACAUCAGAAAAAGGCCAACGUAUGAAAACACAAUAAUGGAAAAAAACAGCUAUGCCCGAUGCUGCCAGGCCAUAUAAACCAGCGACCCAACCAUGCGAGAACAGUGCUAAAAAUAGACAUGCGGGAACAAGCUGGAAGGCAGACAUAGCCUGACAAAAAGAUUGACAAGGACAAGAUGACACGGAGCAAAUCAAUAGUUUGCACGAAUAUUUCAGCUUUGAUCAUGUGGUGGACAAUUUAGACGUGAGAUAAUUAUUUUAUAAUCUACAUGUAAAAUAGCAAACUAAUCCAUAAUUAAAUGAUUAGAGGACUGUAAUAUUCACUGUCCAUCAAAGUUUAAAUUUUAAAUUUGACAUUGGUUCAGCGGAAGAAGACGUUCCCGCCGACUACGAAGAUGUCUGUGACGACUUCGUCAAUCUCAGAAUGAUGUGCUGGCUUAGUCUUUCAAAUGUGCUCAUAGGGAUAGUGUAUGAGUACAUGUGUUCAUAAAAAUAAAUGUAUACUCGUGUAUAUGAAGGAUUUCGAGUGUACUCUGAUCAAAAAAUAAAUCUAAAUGUAAAAUAACAGAACUGAUUUAUUUAAUAUUAAGGGCAUUAGCGUCAUUUCUCAUGCGAUGUAACCCAUACUCUAUAUAAAGGCUAUCCUUGUAUCAUUAAGCACAGAAUCAAAACCCAAAGUUAGUUUAUCCUGUUCUUAUCUUAUCUUGGUGUACUUAUCUCAGUUGUUUAAUUUCCAGUAAACUGUCCUGUUAUCCUCCUCAUCUCCUCUAUCCUCGUCAAGAUCAGAUUUUUGUGGAUCCAUCCCUCCGCCCGGCCAUGAAGCGCGCUUCCGAUUCCCCGGCUGGUCGUGAUCCCCGGGCUCCUCCUCCCGCUUCCUGUGCCGGCGGCGACUCCAGCGAGCCAGCCAACAAGAAGCAGCGGCGGACCUCCAGCUCGACCCAGCCGCCUCCACCGGAGCAGCCGAGACAGGCGCCGGACCUGGGCGAGGACGUGGUGUUCGAGGUGCUGCGGCGGGCGGAGGCGCCGACGCUGGCCGCCGCGGCGUGCGUGAGCCGGGGCUGGCGGGUCCUCGCGCAGGACGAGCGGCUGUGGGAGGCCGCGUGCGUGCGGGAGUGGGCGGGCCUCGGCUUCUCGGAACACCUGCUCCGCGCCGUCGUGCUCUUGCUCGGCGGCUUCCGCCGCGCGCACGCCGUCUCCAUCAACGCCCGACGGCGGUUCGGCGGCGACUGCGGAAACUGGCACGGCGUGCGGGCGCCGGGACAGGGGAGGAGGCGGCCGGCGCCGUGGACCGAGGACGAGCAUAGGUGAGAUUUAGUACAUCAUCAGAGAUGGCUAUGCUAGCAUUUAAAAGUUGGAGCUUGGGAUGAUUCAACUAUGGAAGGGCUGCAAUUUGGACUGGGAACUUGGACUGUCAUGCAGCAUCAUGUGUAGCAAGAAUUCACUGUCCAUAAUUGGUUGCCGAAGCUGAUCAUAUGCUCUGUUCUUGUCUCCAGGUUGUUCCUCUUAGGCCUGAAGAAGUACGGCAAAGGGGACUGGAGGAACAUUUCGCGCAACUUCGUGCGGACGAGGACGCCAACGCAGGUGGCCAGCCACGCACAGAAGUACUUCAUCAGGCUCAGCUUGGGGGCGAGGAGGCCGAGCAUCCACGACAUCACCGCAGUUCACCCUCCCUCGCCGUCCCAGUAAUCGAUGAGCCGGGCGCUCGGGUGUCGAACUACGUCAUGGGUUUGCAAGAUCAAGGCCUCCAGUGUGGUACUCUACAUGAUCAGCUUGCUGCGAUCGGAAAUAUUUCGAUCCAUUUCGACGCCACCGAUCAGAAGUCUAGUGUAAUAUGGCCUUUGUUGUAGCUUCAUUGCUUGUAUUAUUAUUGAAGCAAGUAAUUGAUUAUGGGGAUUUUUCAGAACAUAGUAGUCUAUAAUUGUUGGUGUUGAUACUGAGAAUGUAAGGGGAAAAGGAUGUAAAGAACCUGCUUGAUGUUGUAGUAUGACAGACAGGGAUACUGGUGCUCAGUACUGAUCAUGUACAUUGUCAAGUGGACUUAAUUUUCAAUCUUCAUGGAUCCUGCUUUCUGGUCAGCUCAUGUUAUUGGAAACCUUACUCAUGCAGCAUCUCACACAUAUAUACCUAUCCACUAAUCCACAUCUAUAAUUCAUUCAAUUUCGAGCAUAUAUAAUCUGUCUCGGUGCUUGCGCCCAGUGUUUGCGAGUGUAAUUUUUUUGGAUUAACCAGAACGAGUUUGUAGUGAGUCAUCCAGCAUUUACUUGCCUUGCUCAUCUGGUCAACUUUUUGCUUGAUUGCAGCUCCAUUUUUUCCAACCUUGUGGAUUGACCUUUGCAUUGUUGGUCUGCAAUUAAGUACUUUAAAAAAUAUAAGUAUUUUAAAAAUAGGGAAGUCUUUUCCUGUAUAGAUCUGUAUUACUACUGACGAUGACGAUGAUGAUGAUGAUGCUGAUGUUGGAUCCACCAAGCAAUGGAAUUGGAAAUGAGUCAGACUUGCACUAGCUUUGGCUGCCUCCUUUUUCGGUCAACAUAUGCAAAUCUUUUUCCCUGACUCCUUUUUGGCCCUGGAAGAAAAUUCUAUGGGACGGGGCCUUAUAGUGCCCGGCCUGAGGCCCCUCUUCAGAUUUUGACAUGUCAUUGUUUACACAUAUUUUAAAGUUGCUUAGAGCAACUCUAGCAGACCCCGCAUCCCGCCCCGACCCGCAAAAUAACUGCUAAAUUGCGGGUCGGGGCAGGAAAAUCCGCACGAGCAGACUCCGCAUCCCGCGCCAACCCGUAUUAUUUUUUGCGGGGUGCGACAAAUCUUCUCCCCCAACCUCCAUCUUCACGGGCUGGGAGGCCGACCCGAGCUCAACCCCUAUCCUGCGCGAGAUUUGGCGGGAGGGACAUUUCCGCACGGCCUUUCCCCGUUCCCCGCACCCUCCACCACCAUUGCCACCCCUCCGCAAGCUCUGGUUCCUCCUCCCCGGCCGUUCCUCGCCGCCAUGGAGGACCCCAUUGCAUCAUUUUGUUCACAUUUUGUAGGACAAGAUUGCUCGACAUAGAUACAAGGACAUGGAAGCUUCAGAAGACAAAUUCUUCAAAUUAAAGCAUUGUUGGGAGUUGUUCCAAAAGUGCAACAAGUGGAAAUUGAUCGACAGAGAAUCCCCGCCAAAGAGAGGCUCACUUGUAAACAUGGAUGAAGAUGAGGAUGAUGAUGCCCCAAGAAAUUUGCACAAGCCCGAUGGUGACAAGAAGACUAAAGAGAAGAUGAAGAGAGAGCAAGAAGCAGCGAGCUUGAGGGAGAAUGGUCGCCUCGACCGGUCCGUGUUCCAGUUCCGGUGAUGUUUUCUCUGCUCCAUAUGAUGCCAAUGUGGAUGAUUUUGGUGCGGGAGUUGGAACAAGCGUUCCAACCGACGGAUGUGGAUUCGGUGGCGCCGAUGAACUUUAAUAUGGACUCCAUGGCGCGGAGUGAAGAUCGACCUCCAAGAUGAUGCCGGACAUGGGCGCAAACCUUUGCAUGCCCUCUUUUGCGUAAUGAAAUUCGCUUUUAUUUGCGCGUAAACUGUUUAUUUCAUUUGAAUUUGAACUUGUUUGCCAAACCCUAUGUCAUAUGCGAGAUUUGCAGUUUUCUGUUUGCGGGUCGUCGCGGUGGAGCCCGAGCAGACCCCACAGAUGCCGACCCGUAAAAAAACAUAUUCGACGAAUAUACUUUUAUACGGGUCCGUUUGGGGGGGUCUGCAUCUGUGCCAGCCCGCAAAAGUGGUUUUACGCGAACUGCAAACGCGUUUUGCGGGCCGGCAUUAUGCGGGGUCUGCUAGAGUUGCUCUUAAAAUCCCCUAAUCAGCUGAUACGUAUUUAUAGUAUGGAUACAACACAUUAUCAAUCUAAUCAAUACCUUCCAUCUAAUAAGCGUAACCAGAAGGUAGCGAUCUUCUCGCCAGUCUUCGCCGCGCCAAACGUGGAGGCGUCGUCGUCGCGACAUGUCCCCGACGCCGAACAUUGAGAAAAGGCAAGACAUCCGGAGAUAUGAGGGAGGCAAACCCCUCCCUGUGGCAAAGUUUUGUGUUUUGACUCAUUUAUAAAAGUUGAUCGAGAUUUUACUCUGAUUUGCAAAAAAAUCAGAAACUGAUCCUUUUCCUAUCGGCAGGGUCCAUGCAUGACGGUAGGGUAUAUAUAAUACGUACCAUCAAGGUCUCUGGAGGUAAGAAACAUAUCCACAUCAGCACGGCGUACCCUUACUGUUAAAUAGGUUGACGGUAGCCUAAACAACCCUAUCGUAAAGGUGUCUGGCGGUAGGUGCGAACACACACAAUAUCCGAUACUUAAGUAAAUUUUACGGUAAGGUGUGCACGUCUACCGUCAGGGUCCUUAACGGUAGGCUGUUAUAUCUUUACUGUCAUGAAUCCCGACCGUAGGAAAAUGGCCAGUUCUUGAAAUAUUUAUAAACUAAGGUCAGAUCCCAUUCAAUAUCAUAAAAGGAUCGAAACACGAAAUUGAGCCGCUCCUUGUGACAGGCAGUAGAGAAUGGCACAGGGAGCAAGCACUGGGGCACAAAACGUUUUGUUUUUUGGCCAACUUGUGUGUUGGGUGCUUGUGCUUUUCUGCCUCAGCUUUUCUGCAAGUUGCAGUGCAGAGACACAAAACCACUCACUCAGCUCAGCUCUCUGAUGAGGAUGGUGAUGGUGAUGAUCAUGAUGGAGGUAAGGUGAGGCAGCGUUGCGUGUCAUUAGGAGCUUCUGGGUGUGACGGAUGGAUGUGGUGUUGUGGUUGCUGCUGCUUCAAGCAGCAUUUCUUCAGGCUUGUCGCCUUUCCUUGUCACAUGUGUACUACGUACCAUUCUUUUCUUUCUGAUGUAUCAUGUGGCAGUGCAUUAUUUUCCAAAUUAUCGAUAGAGACAUGACGAAAUCAAAGUGGAAAUUAAAUCAUGGUUUAUGAUCGACGAUAUUGUCACCAUGAAACAUGUGUUUCUUCUACUUUUGCUGUCAUUUUACAACAGCUUCAGCCUCUUGGAGACGCAGGUGGAUCGGUAAACCCCGUGCCGAACAUUUCCGCGUCUUGACAAUCUGAGGUGACUUUUAACAGCUUAACUCGCGUCCGUGCUUCUCAGACCCGUAACCGGUAGGUCUAUCGCGCCAAUUGCGGCCGUGGUUAGUUUUUGACGUUUGCAUUGACAACAAAAGCAAUCAGUUUCUAACUUACAGCUUUGAAAGGAACCAACUCUCCAAAAAUAACAGUAGAAGUUAAAGUGUCACACCGAUAAACCAACCAUGUGCAUCCGGGAGGAGUGAGAUGGAAAUAGGAAAUUGGUGAACUUUGGACGCGUUUGGUUACCUGCACCGUUUUUGGCCACUUUGCAUAUUUGUUUAAGUUGGGUCUGGCUAAACAUAUGCAGGUAAAAAUUCAACAUCUAUGUGAUGAUUUGUUGCAUGCAUUCCUUCUAGCCUGUAUGUACCGAAACGGAAGACAUGUUGUUUGGUUGUGGCCUGGUUUGAGGUGAAACACAAGUUCGGUUGUUUGGUUAUAUCCAUGACAAUAGUGUGGUAACCUCCUCCUUGAUGUGGUGAGGUUACCAGAGGCAGAAAAAUACAGCAACCAGAACAAACUUAAGCACAUAUCAAAGUUUAACCACACACAAAGGUUAAACAUAGUACGAUAAGUUUUAAACGAUACUGCAACACAUAGUCUUAAACGAACAACCAACAACUUAGUUACGAACGAGAGUACAUUUACGCGUUCACGAUGAAGGCCUCGUCGUGCUUCUUGCAUUUGCUGACCACCUCCACGCCGUCGUCGUUGAAGACGAUCACCUUCAUGGUGUUCGGGGCGAGCAACUUGAAAGUCAACAUGUACCCGAUCCUAACCUGAUGAGCGGUGGCGAAGGUGGCCCAACCCUGAUCAAGGGUGACCCUGCCAUCGACCACCUUCACCGUGACCCUCCAUGAGCAGCCGGUGUUCGUCUUUAGACUGAACUUUGUAGGCAUGGCGGAAAAGUGCUUCGUGAAGUCCAGAGACAAAGGCAGAGCCUCCAUCUUCGGAGCAAAGAUCACCUUGCAGAAGUGGGUUGGUCAUGCCUCCACAUGGUAGUGCUUGUAGUUCCUCCGCUUGGCGUUAGAAUGAUCGAGCACCCGCACGUCCACCAAUGGCGGCACGACCUCCUUGCCCUUGUCCAAUGGUGGCAACACCUCCUUGCCCUUGUCCAUUUGCAUUAUCAACAACACACAGUUCAAAGUUCAACAUUCAUUCCUACCGGCCUAACGCUCCUAUAUUUACUCACACUUCUUAUCCAACACACACUCAAACCCCCUCUCUUCUUCAACCUCUCUGUUUCACCACCUCUCCCUCACCAUGAACUCCAAUCCCAAUCCUUUCCCCUGGGGCAUGGAUGGAGGGCAUUCUUCCUCGGGUGCUCUCUCGGUGACCACGUGAAGUUCGAGGACACAAUGGCAGCGUGCUCGAACUUCAUGGGCAUAGCUGAAGUGCACAAGGAGGCCGAUGGUGUGGUGAAGAAGGCGACGAGGGAGGAGUUGAGGGCACUGAUUCAUGACCCAGCGAAUGGCGCUAUGUCAGUCGACAUCCUUCGCUGGUCCAUGAAUUAGGACAACUCCGACGACGCUCGGCAGAGGGCCAAGUGGGCCAAGUAUAGGGAGUACAAGCGUCCCAAUGAUACUGUACGACACAGACUGUGGUGGAUCUGACGGAGGAAGACGAUGAGGUGUAGAUGAUGCCCAGGGAGCCGACGGAAGGUGACCGUGCAAAACCCAUCGUUCUUGACGGCGACGAUGAGGAAGAAGAUGAAGAGGAAGAAUUUGACGACGAGGAAGAAAACAAGCCUACACUCCACCGUAGCUCGACGCGACUACAGUGGUUGCUGUCGGUGUGUGUGGGAAGAGGGCAGAGAGCGGUGAGGAAGGGAGGUGAGGGUAAUUUACGACGACGCUUCGGAAAAUAACGCGACUUUUCGAGACUACAUCCACGUGUACAAUCGCCCACGUCCACGUGCUCCACAAAAAUGGCCGAUUUGACUAUUCCUAUGGAUGUAGGCCCAGAGGUGCUCUAAUGUUCUUGCUAUGCAUGCCAACCACUCAAUGCAGAUAACCAAACGACACAAAUUCUUUCCGUGCGGGCGCGGCCCGAUCUAACGUAGUCUGUCAAAUACGUCAUUUGUGAUGCACUGCACAUCUGACGACACUGCAACAACCAGGAUUUGAGAUAAAGCAGAACUCAUCAGGAAGGGCAGAUGGCCAAAUGGGUAGGCAACCCGAAAUAGAAAUGCCUCAAUCACUCUGAUGAACAUGAUGCAAACCAACCUAUGGUUGAAUGGUCAGGAGGACUGUGGUAUCCCCUGUCUAUCAAAAUUCAAAUUUCAGGUUUUUCGACGAUGUAAGCGACUUUGAUUGUACUAGACAGACAUACGGGUAAACUCCGCGUCAAAUAUUUGUUUCUUGACAAUUCGAGGCGACUUCUAACCGGUUAACUUGCGUCUGAACUUCUCAGACCCUUAACCAGUAAGCUCCUGGCAUGAAUUUUGGCUGCAGUUAGUCUUGACGAUUGUGCCGUUCGACAAAAGCACAAUUUCCACAUAGCAGGAAAAAAAAAAGCACACCAUCGUUUUUCUUUUUUUGAACCUGAAGGUGAGAGCCUUGAAAGGAACCAGUUCUCCAGAAAUUAACAGAAACAGUUACAGUGUCAGAAUGAUGUUUAGCAUUAUACAUGAAUCCAGGAGGAUUAAUUAAGAAAAAAAGAAGAAGAAGUUGGUGAACUUUCCGACGGUAGACAAGGUGCACUGCACAACCUGACAGCAACCAGUAUCUGAAUGAGAUGGCCAGGCAAUGUGAAAGCACUCAUCAGGAACAGGACGAGGAGGUUCACCUCAGCAGAUUAUUUUCAUCGACGGCGCCACUUCUUGCUCUGUAUUUUUUCUCCAGGCAACGUAAAACAUGUACUGUAUUUCCUGCUGCUACUUUUGCUGUCAUCGUUUAACAGCGUAUUCGGUCUCACCUCACGGAGACGCGGGCAGACAGAUCGGUAGACUCCGUGCCCAACAUUUCGUCGAAUUGACAGUAUGAGGUGACUUUGGAGUUGCAUCUGUGCUUGCUUCUCAGAUUCCUGUAGCUCAUAUAUAUAAAUAUAAAUAAUACUUCCCUGUCCCGAAAUAAGUGACUUAAAUUUAUAAUGAAUUUAAUACGAAGUUUUAAAAAAUAAAUAAAUUUAAUACAAAGUUAGUACAAAGUUGAGACUUAUUUUGAGAGGAGGGAAUAUAUUUAGGAAACGCUUCCUAACAGAAGUUUGAUAGGAGCUAAUCCUCAGACUGGUCGUGAGACGUCGAUACAGCUUUCAUCUCACUGCCGAAAUAGAUUCAAAUUUCCGUCGAUGUGUUUCCAAAUCUGGGCGAUUUUCUUUCCAUGUGUUCAGCCAUAACCACUCCCGUAAUAAUCGCCUCCAUCACCGAGCUCUCCGCCAUGAUUCAGCCAUCCCCCCUUGGACAUGAGAUUAACCGGGCCGGUGCGCCGUCCCAUCUAGUGGUUGCGCGCCUUCCACACGACGCGCACAAGGAGCGAGCUCACAACCCCCUUGCCGCCCCGAGCGUCUACAAUACCUUUGUCGCAUGCAGCCUCCGGUUCACCAUGGCAGAGGGUCCUCCCGGCUGAGGAACGAAGCCAUCACGUGAGGGAGACAACUGGAUUCGCCCCCUCGACCCCAUCAUCCGCAGGCACCAUCCUCAUCUAACCUAGGUAUUGAGUCCAAGAAAUCUUGAUAUACACCUCUCUGAUUUAUUUGCAUGUUCUAAGUGUUGAUCGCCAUGUCCAUAUGAUUGUAUAGACCCUUUUGUUGGGCUCGAGUUUCAGCACUCUAUAGUACUCAGGGUCAUCUACUAUUAUCUCUCAAUUAGUUAUGUACAGGAAGCACAUGUCCUUCCCAAUUUUGGGGGCAAUAUCUUCUCGGAUUUUUAUUUUCACAUAUCCAACAGCACCAUGUUUUUUAUGCCUCUUAACCAUUUGUGUUUCUUCAUUAUAAUGCAUAUGCUUCUUUCGGAUAUAUAGUUUGCUUCAUUUCGUGUGAGGGAGCAGGCAUAUGUUUCUUUUCUCUUUGAUCUGGAGAGAACCAUGCAAUGCUUCCAAAAUAUGGCCAUGCAUUGCUUCAUUUAAUCAACAUUAACCUUUUUAUAUUACUAUAUGCAUGACACAAAAAAGGUCUUCUGAAGCAUAUUUCGACUGCUGCUUGUGCCAACUGAAUUGCUUCCAUAAUGUUUUAUUUUCCCUUCUCCCCAACUUUAUUGUAACCAUUAUCCCCCUUGAAACAUGCCAUGCUGCCAUAUUGUACGCAAUAUGUUUCUGAGUUCUAGUAAAGUUGCUUCAAUAUUUCCAUCUUAUUCUCUGUUUUUUCAUUAUCCAAUUUAGCAAAUUGGUUCUUAGAUGUUAUUCUUGCUUACAUUGCCCUGCUUCAAUAAUAGUUUUUCACCAGUUAUUUUUGUUUCACUUUUACGUAUAUGGUUUCAUGGAAGUGAAAAUUUUCUUGAACCACAUUACACAUGCUUUUAUGUGAAAAUUUUGCUUCAACUUCUUCACUUUUAUCUCUCACAAACACUUCCUACUUAUAUUUCUCACAUAUGCUUCUGUGCUUGUAAAUUUUUACUUCAACCCCUACAAGUGUAUGCUUCGCUUAGUGAAUUAUUUUGUUUAAACUACUCCUGAGUCUGCUUCACUGUGCCUGAUUGAUGUUUCUGUUAUAUAUACAUUUUUGCAGCAUAAAGUUGUAGUCACGCUUCUUUAUUUGGGGCACAUGUCAAGGAUACUAUAACGAUGUCUAGAGCAUUAUGACUGAGAGGAGGCGCCACUCUUUGUUUGGUGGAUUCCUUGUUGGCGACAGACUAGCAGUACAUGUGAGCUCUCUUCCAUGAUACGAUGCUGCCAGGCAAGGGUUAAAGUAAUAUUCUUGUUUGUCUUGAAAAAUAAUUGUCAUUAGAAAUUUGUCCUUUGCGGACAACUCCGCAAUUACUUUGUAGCAAAUGUAAUAUUCAUAGGGUAACUAUUCUUCACUUAUGAUGCAAACAAAUUGCUAUUUGGUUGGAAGCAUUUCACUAGUCGGUGGAAACAAGCGAGUGAUGCUUCUGAUUUAUUGUGUUGAGAUGACCAAAAACCUGACCUUAUUAUCCAUUCAUGUUGUUUGAAGCAACUUCUAUGGAAGCAAAUUCGGAAUUGCUUUGAAGCAAAAUUUAUUUUCUUCAGAAGCAAGUUCUAAUAUUUUUAUGCAACGUUUGAUACUAACAAAAAAAUUGGAAGAACAUCACCAAUAUACCCAAAACAAUUCUCUGGUCGCAUGAAACAUAUCUUGUUUGCUCUAACAAAAUACAUUGGGCACAACAUCUGACAUGAAAUAGUCUCAAACAAUUGUAAUAAGACCGAAGCAAUUUAUAGUUUCGUGCAAACUCUAAUCUAAACAUAUGGAAGAAAUUUGAUCGAAAGAAAUAAAAAACAAUUCAAAACAAGAAAGGAAACCAAACUAAAGUUUUGGAAGCAAAGAUCCUCAUGAUUGAAAAUACCGAAGGAAGCAAACAAAAAUAAUCCCAAUGUUUUAUGGACUGUAUGUCCAUACAUAAAUUUGCAGUUCUUUUUACUGCCGGAAAUUACCUCUGAGUUCUCGUUAAGCUAUAGGCCUUGCCAUGCAUUUGACGUUUUGGCGUAAACUCUUUCUUGAGUUGACACGUGUUGGUUUGUAUGUUUUGGUUUAUUGCUGGUUUAUUUUAUCUUACUUGACAAUAGGACUGGUGUUCAGGUUUGAGUUGUGAAAUCUGAAGAGAAUGAUUGAUGGAGCAGAGUUGGAUUUACAUCAUAGCCAAGGCCCCGGUGAAUGGAAUGGAACCAGAAGGACUGGACGCGCUUUACUGCACUGUCAGAUUAAAAAGAUCUAGUCACUCUGUUUUAAAAUACAAUUUGUAUUACUUUUUUAAGACGUCAAACCUUUUAAAUUUGAUGAAAUUUGUAAAUAAAUGUAUCAAAAUCUACAAUAUUAAACUGUUGUGAUUAGAUUCACCGUUAAAUGAAUUUUCAUAUUUUUUAUUUAAUAUUGUAGAUGUCGAUAAUUUUGUUCUCAACUUGGUCAAAGUUGAAAAUUUUGACUUUCCAAAAUAUUAAUACCCUUUAUGUUUUGAUUGUGAUUGUUAGACCCUUCCUAACAAAUUGUUUUUUCUACUAUGAUUGUGAUUGUUACAGUCAAAAAAUUUCACUUCGUAUGAGCUUCACCUCCUUCCAUAAACAAGCUUGCUCCCUCUAUGCAUGUAUGCUACCUCCGUCCCUGAUUGUCUCCAUGAAUCAUGGAAGGGGGGAGCGAUACUUCACCGCCAUUGCCACGACCGGACGACGCGCAACACAGAUCAUGGUAGGGUAUAGUACAACACAAUACACAACACAAACGCACUCUCCUUGCACGCCGCUUAUCAACAACCCCCACGGCCUUCCAGCUGAGCCGCGACGUACACCAGCAGAGGCACCCACCUCGUCAACCCACAUCUGCGCGCAUGCCCCUCCAACUCCCGUGGCCGUGAGGGCCAUGGACGUCGCUUGGGGUCUGAGCUCGGACCGCUGUCCAUCUCCUCCGGGGACGGCCGCCUGAAAAGCUCUCUCUUCCUUCCUUCUCCCGCGCCACCGGCCACGUACGGGAUGGAGCUGGCCGUUGCCCGCCCGUUCCCGUCGCCAAGGUCGGCGGCCGCCUCAGCCUCUCCCGCGAGCUCGACGAGCUCAAGGCCGGCCGACGCCUCCCCGUCCCUUCCAGCGGCGAGAUGUGCCAGACCCCCGACGGACGGCCGAACCUUCCCCAACCUCGUCGUCACAACACACGAGGAACGACGACGAGCGGGAGGNAGGAAGGCGGCGUGGGCAAGGCAAGCGCCGAGGAUGCUCUCCGGCCGGUGCUCCGGAGGGGCCGGCCGGGGCUGCAAGGAGCCAGGAGGGGAGAGCUUGACGGUGGGCGACGAGGUGAGGCGGCAGCUGUGGCUCGCCGGCCCGCUCGUCGUCGGCAGCCUGAUGCAGAACCUGAUCCAGACCAUCUCCGUCAUGUUCGUCGGGCACCUCGGCGAGCUGCCCCUCGCCGGCGCGUCCAUUUCCACCUCCUUCGCCACCGUCACCGGUGUCAGCUUGCUGGUAAUAAGUAACAUUUGACUACCAUGGCGCUUCAUCUUCUCCACUUCAUGAAUUCCUGCAAUAGGGAAAGUAGUGGCUGCAUCCAUCUUGAUCCACCCAUUAAAUGAACAGUAAAUUCAGAAUAAUUAAAAAUAAUCAAAUUUUUUUGUGACAUUGGCCGACCUUUGUUCAAUAAUGUUUCGGUCAUUUUAUGAAGUUUCAACCACUUUUGUAGGUUCGUAUUAGGUUUAUUUUCUUUCACAUUUAUAUUGUGUUUCCUAAGUUUCCGUUUUUGGUGCGUGACUGCCCUCUGAUUUUACGUGCAAUUGCUUCAACUGCAUUUUAAUGUGUCCAUACACAAAAUAAUCUGAAACAUGAGAAAUUUUCAGUCAUCUCCACUCUAGGCAGUUAGUUUCGACGAUGCAUAGCCCAGCCCAUGGUACAAUCAUCACCCUUUGUGCUCCCUCGCCCCAUAUGUAUCCACUAGCAAAAUGGUUCGUGCGUUGCCACAAAAAAAAACCAUAAUCUCCAAAGAUGAUGACCACAUUAUAUUCAUAUAUCAUCGCUUGAUUUAGAAAUUUUGUGCACAAACGCAAGAAAAUGUUUCUUCUUUUAAAUUUAUUCACAAAUUGAAGCAAUCUUUACAUUUUUUUAAAAAAAUAUCAUGGUUGUCAAAAAUCUUGGUAACUCAAAGAUUUAUUCUGAAUUUCAAGAUUUUUUUUAUAAAACAUACAAUAAUAAUCCGAUCCAUCCAAUAGUUAAUUCUUCAAAAUUCACACAGGUAUAUUGUCACAAAGACUUAGAAGCAUUAAUGUUUAACUACAUACAUUAGAUCUUUCGUGAACAAUUUUACAAAUAUGGGAACGAUUUUAAAAUCAAGAACAUUUUUUACAAUUUACAAACAUUUACUAAAAAUCGUGAAUAUUUUCUAUAUUUCGAACGGGUUUAAAUAUUUUCUUUUGAAUUGGCCACCAAUUCAAGAAAAGACGAACAUAAUUUUUGAUGUUGGAGGAUUUUAUUUUAAAUUCACAAACAUUUUUUGAAAUGCAUGAAGUUUUUCUGAAUAAACAAACAUUUUUAUAAAUCAGUAAUAUAUUUAUUAAAUUCAUGGACAUUGUUUUGGAAUUUGCAAAAAAAUAUAAAAAUCCGGCGCUUUUUUUAAUACUAUUUUUAUUUCAAAAUAAAAGUUCCUCAGCAUUUUAUUCCAAAUUCCUAUUUUUUAAUAUGCAAAAGUUUUUUUAAUUCUAAAUUAUUUAAAUUAUAAAUAAAAAAAAUGGAACGGAAAAUUUUAAAUAAAAAAAGAAACUAUCAAAACAGGCAUUAGCUAUUUUUAAAAUUUUAGGACAUAUUUUGAAUUACAAAGCAUUUUGUUAAAUGCAUUUAAUAGUUUUUAAUACAUGGAAUUGUAUUUGAGAUCAUGGACUAUUCUUAUUGUACAAACAUUUUUAUAAAAUUGCAAACAUUUUAUUGUAUAUGCGAGCAUUUUUAACAAAACUCUGAGCAGUUUUUGAAGUGACAAACAUUUUAAUUUUUUAAAUAUGUUGAUUUAUAAUUUUCAGUUUAUUAGAAUUUUAAAGAUUAUUUAAAGUUCUAAAUUAUUUAAAAUAAAGAAAUAAAACGGAACUGAAAAUAAAUAAAUAAACGGAACUAAAAGCAGACGCCUGUGCAUGGGCCGGCCCAUACGGUGUGCUGAAUAUUCUCCCAGCGUGUAGAGCGUAAUAUAGAAGGUUUUUACAUGGGCCGGCCCAGUCCAAUUUUUUUCGCUUUGUGAAACGUUUUCUAUUACUUACCGGUGGCAUGGUGGGUAAUUUAUGCAAACUUUAGGGGUAAUUUUCAAGACGGACGACCAGAAACCGAUUUUGCUUUAUUAUUUUUGUCACCAUUACCAGCCGCCUAUGCCCUCACAAACCUGUCGGUCAUUUCCUUGUGCACUUGCCCCACCACCCAAAUCCUCUUACAUCAAUAUGAUUAUUUUUUCAAAUAUGCUUACCUUUACACUUUAACCAUAUGUAAGUUGCUUGUUAUUAAAAUUGGAUAAGUCCAUUUUUUUGAAUGCUGAUUAUUUUCACAAGAUUUGUGCUGUUUUUUUCUCUUUGCUUGUGUUGUCUUCAUGGCUUCUUUGAUUGAAUUUUCUACUUGCCCCUUUUUGGGAUCAGUUGAUUAUCUUAUUGGGCUUGAAGCCCACCACUCAUUGACUGUGUUAUUUCUUCCUUUUUUACGCAUUUUUACUUUUACUUUUUUUUUUCUUGUUUAGUCAAGUUUUAUUUUUUAAAUUAUGUGUUUUAUGUGAUUUCGGGUAUGUGUAAAUGUAUAUACGCAAGUAAUAUACAAUUUUGUAGAUUACACUAGGCUGUGAGAAGUACUUAUUCUUUGCAUAUCACAAAAAGUGCAAUUUCAACGCAAAGUUGUAUGUAAAAAUUUUAAAGUUUUAUUUUUCAUUUUCCUAAAGAGUCAUAACAAUACUACUAAUGUAUUGUUUUAGUUUUUUAUUAAAGGAUAAUAAUAAUGUGAGAAUAUCUUUUAUAGUUAGAUUUUGUUUUUACAAAAAAUCCCCUAUUAUAUGCGUACUCUUGCAUAGUAUGAAAAUGUUACUUGUAUAAAUUGUGUGCAAAUUUUGUCGUUACAUGUUUACCUUUUUAUGUUCUUUCUUAUUAAAUUGUAAUACCAAUGCCACCAAUACAUUCUUCCUUAGAAAAAACUAUUUUUAUUUUUCUGGUCUAAGUACACACACAAGUAGUAUACAAUAUGUGCGUAAAUUAUAAGAGAGUGUGAGAAUUUCACUGUUAUAUAAGUAUUCUUUGUACAUUACAAAAAGUAUAAUUUUAGUCUAAAGUUGUGUGCAGUUUUGUUCUUUCAUUUUUCGUCUUCAUAAACGGUAAUAUGAACGCCACUUAUUCAUUCUUUCUUAGAGAACUUUAUCAAUUUGAUUUGAUUUUACUUUUUAUUUCAUUUUUUUCAUCAUUACUGGUAAUACAAAUGCCACUAAUUUGUUCCUUCUUAUAAAUGUUUUUUGCGAAAACUGCACUUUUAUAUUAUAAAAAUAAUAAUUUCUGUUUAAAUUUGCUUGCAAAUUUUGUCAUUAUUUCUUUAUCUAAUUUAUUUCCUUUUUUAAGGGUAAUACUAAUGUCACUAAUUCAUCCUAUAUUAGAAAAUACCAUUUUUGUUUUCCUUUUUUUUUCUUGUGUCUUACCAGUUAUUGGGUGGAUUUCUGUUACGUUUCAGAUCAAGUCCUAGUAUUUGGUGGUCUUCUGUUUUAUGUUUGCAAAGGGCCGAGUGCUUCUGUCCAUCUUUUAUUUUGUUUUGUUUUGUUUCCUUGUUCAGAAAAGGUAGUAGGCUGCCUCAAACUCUUUCUUCUCUGGAAGCAUUCUAUGCAUUAUUUUGAAUUGUUUCUUUCUUUAGGAAUGAUACGAUGCUGCAUAAAUUCUUUCUCCUCUAGAAAACCUUCCGUCCACGUCAAAUGCAUUCUUCUUUAGAGAUUUUCUGUCUACCACCACCACCUAUUUUUGAGAUUGUUGAUCUAAUUUCUAUGACGCAUGCAUUUUUUACCAGAUAAUUAGCCAUGUGUUGUUUUUCAAAUUUGUAUGAUUCAUCGCUAUCGGCAUUCUUCUUCCUGAUCAGACAGGCAUGACCAAUGCUCUGGAUACUCUAUGCGGCCAAUCAUUUGGCGCCGGGCAAUACCAUCUCCUCGGCAUCUACAAGCAACGCGCCAUGCUGCUACUCACCGUCGUAAGCAUGCUGCUACUCACCGUCGUAAGCAUCCCUGUCGCCGUCGUGUGGUUUUACACUGGUGAGAUCAUGCUCAUGUUCGGCCAGGACCCCCGACACAUCGCCAUGGAGGCAGGCAGGCACGUACGCCCGGUGGAUGAUCCCGCUGCAGUGCCACGUAGGCAUGGACGUACCGAGCGGGCUUUUAGGCCCGCUCGUGGCCCGUUCGAUUUUGGCCCGCUCGGUCCUGUCCCGACAAGAAAACAGUCCGGUCCGGGCCCAGUAAUCUAGACCGAAAAAAAAUCGGUCCGGUCCGGUCUUUAACCGGGCCGAACGAAUGGACCGAGCCCAACAACAACAAGAUCGAUUGAUCUGGUAUUCUGAUCGAUGCCCGUUGCCUCCUCCUCGCUCGUUGCCUCCUCUUCCUCGUUACCAGCAGAACGGCGCCUCCUCCUCCAUUCCUAACCCUAACCCUAAGGCGACGGCGCCGUCGUCCGCGCCUCCGCGGCCUCUCUCCUUCACCGACGAGUCGACGAGACGACGACGACGUCUCCUCUUAGUCCAAGCUGGAGGAUCGUCCUCACGUCGGGGUCGCAACAAGACCACGCCGUCGAUCCCGCCUCCCCCGGUGGUGAUGGUGGAUGGACUGCUGGUGCUGGACUGUCACUGCCAUUGCUCUUUUUUUUCUGAAGAAAUCUUUUUUUUCUGAAUUUUAGCUGUCGCUGCUGCUGUAAUUGGUUCAGUGGCAGCUAACUACAGCUAAAUAACACUAGGCAGUAGCUAACUAACACUAAGCAGCAGCUAACUGCAGCUAAAUAACACUAAGCAGCAGCUGGAGCUGGUUUUGGAGUCGGUCCAUUCGGUCCAAAAAGCUUGACUGAGCUUUCUCUGCUCCGGUGCGGUCCCUGGGAAUCAGCCCGCUGCAGAGCUCGGUCCGGUCCGGGCCGCCGGCGGCCGGUUCUUGCAGUUGCAGUCGCAGAACAUCGUGCUCCCGGUCAUGGGGAGCGCCGGCGCGGUGGCCCUGUUCCAUCUGCUCGUCUGCUGGCUCCUCGUGCACGUCGUCGGGAUGGGCAGCAAGGGAGCGGCUCUUAGCACCGCCGUGUGGGGCGGCGCGCCUCGCCGUGCACGUCGUGGUGUUCUUGGCCAUCUCGGAAGGAAUCGUCAUGGCGAUGGUGGUGGCACAUGUGCGCUACGUCUGGGGCCACGCUUACAGCAGCGAGGAGGGGGUCGUGGCAUACGUUGCCAGGAUGCUGCUGCUCAUCUUGGUGGCCAACUUCUUCGACGGGAUUCAGUGUGUUCUCUCAGGUACGUACAUCACCGGCCGUAAGUGAAUCUGCUCCUCGAUCAGUUGCUAGCUAUGCAUCGCAUGUGUAUAUGACACUGCAUUUUGUGUAUAUAUAGGUGUCGCUAGAGGCUGUGGGUGGCAGAAGAUGUGCGCCCUCAUCAACCUCGGCGCGUUCUACGUCGUCGGCGUGCCGGCGGCCUACCUCAUAGCCUUCGUGCUGCGCGCCGGCGGGAUGGUGCUUUUCCUUUCUAUAUCUAACUAUUCGUUUGGUUUGGAGUUAGACCAACCUUUACCUUGGAUGCGAUGCUGAUAUGUGUGAAACAUAAUGAUAAUCGUAUGUGCAGGGCCUUUGGAUGGGGAUCAUCUGCCGUGUUCUGGUGCAGGUCUUGCUACUCAUGUUCAUCACACUGUGCACCGACUGGCACGAGGAGGUAUAUAUAUACAUGUACAUGCAAAUGAUGUGGCUUGUCCAUGCCGUUUAUGUUCAGCAGAUUAGGCUUCAUGCAUGCAGUGUGUGUGCUGAAUAUAUAUGUGAUGCAUAUAUAGGCGACCAAGGCGAAGAACAGAGUGUUCAGUUCUUCUGGUUCGAGGGAUCGAUCGAUCUGCACACGACAUUAAGAUAUAUGAGGAGGUCUCGUGCUGCUGAAGGCAAAAGAGGAUGAAGAGAAGAACAAGCGCUUCCUUUUCAAUUUUUGUAGCAAAGCCGAGGAAGGGAAAUGUCUUUGAUGAUCUCAUUGCCCAGUGAAAAACACAUUAAAGACAGGGAACACUGUCAAGUUAAGGAGAAAAUUACCAACGAAAAAAGUUGCGCCGUUGCCGGGGAUCGAACCCGGGUCACCCGCGUGACAGGCGGGAAUACUUACCACUAUACUACAACGACUAGAAUUGUUCCGAAAUGCAAAUUGGUCUUUCUUAACGGGACCGUCCGAAGAGCCUGAUUGGCAUUCUCACUUGUGUUGUUUCCCAAAUUGACAAUCGUACAAAAGUGCUCCCAUACGAAUACAGCAUCGAAACCACCAUGCUAUUUGUGAACUCAAAUUCAUCAUUAUCAACACUUACACAUACAAGGUGUACAUGACAUUCGCGUGUACUCCCUCCGUUCCUAAAUAUAAGACCUUUUAAAGAUUACACUAUAAAUUACAUACGGAUGUACGUAGACAUAUUUUAGAGUAUAGAUUCACUCAUUUUGCUCCGUAUGUAGUCUUCUAGUGAAAUCUUUAAAAGGUUCUAUAUUUUGGAAAGGAGGAAGUAGAUAACACUACACUUACAUUAUUGGGCACAAACAACACAAGAUUUUAGAUGCAUAAGCUAUUAUAUUAACUACUCCCACGUAGUAGUAGGAUAGUUACCACGUACGAUUGAUUGCAAGCGAUCUAGCAGCGAGGUAUGGGUGAUCGAUCAAAUUGCACACGUCAACUCGUAUCCGUUCCCUCGCGGCGGUGAUCGAUCAAAAGGCCACUUCGGCGUUGGCAAACCCCACCCCCACCCGCCCCCCCACCCCCCCACCCCUUCUGGUUCACGUCCGCCACCAUCUCGCCAAACCUGCACGGCGGGUUCACCACCGGCACUGUGCCGCGCGCAUACUGUCCACCACCGGCACGCCCGCUGCUGCCAAGUCCACCGGCACGCAUGUCCCUGGACUUCCGUGCGAUGAUGACGGAGUUCACCACGUCGUCGUCGGGGUGGCACACGGCGAGCACCUCGAACCCGCCGCGCCCAAUGUCCUCUGGGUCCACGACCGGGUACAGGAACCCGCGCGCCCCGUGCGACGAGGGCCGCCCCGUCCGCCAUGUGCGCGCCGAGGUGCGCGAUCACCUUGGCCUUGUCCUCGGCGGCCAUGCCCACGAGCGCCGCCAGGAGGACGACGUCGUAAGCGCCGAGCUCGUCGGCGAGGUCCGCGACGUCGGCCGUGUGGAACGACAUGCGGGCGCCCACGCCCGUGUCCCCGCGGAACAGCUUGCCGGCGCGCUCGUUGGCGGCGCCGCACAGGUCGUAGUUGUCGAACACGGCGUCGGGCAGGUGGCGCGCGGCGAGGACGUAGGAGCUGAAGGGGAGCGGGCCGGAGCCGAUGAAGGCGACGCGGGCCGGGGCGAUGCCGCCGGGCACGCACGUAGCGCGCCAGCAGCUCGUACUCCAGCUUGCUGAGGUUGACGUAGUUGCCGUAGUAGGGGAAGACGGCGAGGUGGUGCAGCGGGUUGUCGAAGGCGGCGUGCAUGCAAGCUUCAUGCGUCCAUGCCCAAUAUCAACAAGGCUCGUUUCAUGGAAAAAUUGACAAAAAUGACCCCGAGGGAAGAACUCACGGAGUGAUCCCUCGGAGAAAAUGUCACCCGGCUGACCCUUUUGUGUGACGCCCGACACCUAGGCGCCACACUACACUCUGUGACGCCUAGCCGUUCGGCGCCACACCCUCCGACCACCUGGCAGAGAGGGCCCACCCCCCAGGUCGUGUGACGCCUAAGCCUCCGGCGUCACACAUUGUAAUGUGUGGUGCCGAACGCUUAGGCGCCACACAUCGACUUAACUGGCCACGGGCCAGCCCCCCUCCCCACCCCCUCCCCAUUCCCCUCCCUCAUUCAAACAGAAACAUCAACGACGGCGGCUGGCUCUCUUCGAAUCCCUAAUCCCCUCCCCAUCUCCUUGUGAUUUCUUCCUUGGAUUGAUCCCCCAAGGUAAUCUCUUCCGUUUCCCAUCCUUCUAUCCAAGUGGAAUAGGUUUUUGUUGAGUAGAUUGAUUUGAGUAGGUUCUUAGGAUUUGACUAGUUAGGAUAUGAGUUCUUAGGAUUUGAGUAGUUAGUAUAUUAGUAGAUUCAUAUUAGUAGUUAGUAUUAAUAGUUAGUAUAUGACUAGAUUGAUAUGAGUAGUUAGGAUAUUAGUUCUUAGGAUUUUAGUAGUUAGUAUAUGAGUAGAUUCAUAUGAGUUCUUAGGAUUUGAGUAGUUAGGAUAUGAGUAGAUUCAUAUGAGUUCUUAGGAUUUUAGUAGUUAGUAUAUGAGUAGAUUCAUAUGAGUUCUUAGGAUUUGAGUAGUUAGGAUAUGAGUAGAUUCAUAUGAGUUCUUAGAAUUUUAGUAGUUAGUAUAUGAGUAGAUUCAUAUGAGUUCUUAGGAUUUGAGUAGUUAGGAUAUGUAGAUGAGUGGAUUAGUAGAUGAGUAAUUUUUUGAAUAUGAGUUUUUUUUUUGUGAUUUGUAGGAUGGUGUGGCUUCUGAAUAAUGUUUAUGACGUUGAACACCGGGCCUAUUUCAUGUCGGAGAAGAAAAUGCUAAGUAGAUCAUACGAUAAAAAACAUGUAUUUAAUAAGCACUUGAUAUCUUCUUCUCCUAUCUGUUUGCAGGAGCUUACGCCCUUGAAGAUCCGGUCUCAUGGGGCAUCGUCUGUAAUGCAGUACGAUGAGCGGUACACCCCAUACAUCGAGAUGACAGGACUCCUUCCAUUCAUUCAGCUUGUGAGUCGGUCAACGCCUAAUUUGAACGCUGCGGCAGUCACAGCACUUAUUGAUCGUUGGAGGCCGGAGACACAUAGUUUUCACCUCCGGACCGGAGAGAUGACAGUUACUCUUCAAGAUGUUUCCAUGAUCACCGCAAUUCCGAUCGAGGGGAAGCCUCUUUGUAUGAGCACUGAUUCCGAGGGAUGGCGGCAACAAAUGAAGGCCCUUAUUGGUAUGUCGCCUCAGGAGCCGGAGGUAGAAGAUGGAGGGAAGAAAGAUAGAGUCCCGGCCGGCGCUCCUUUCACUUGGAUUGCCGCGAACUUUGCUCAUUGUCCUGAGGACGCAGAUGACGAGGUGAUCCAGAGGUAUGCUCGCGUGUACAUGUGGUACGUCAUCUCUAGGACUAUCUUUGCUGACGGCACUGGCAAGAAUGCUACAUGGAUGUGGCUGAAGGCGUUGACUGUUUUCGAUAACAAGUUCAGUUGGGGCUCGGCCGCACUGGCUUACCUGUAUCGGCAGGUAAUAAAUUGUUAAUAUUAAGUACUCUCUGUUAUCUUUUUCUGCCAAACUAAUGCAUGUUUGUUGUUACUUGUAGUUGGACGAUGCUUGUCGCAGGACCACAAAGGACGGUGGAGUUGGUGGUUGUAUGCUCCUACUUUCAGUAUGGAGCUGGGAAUGCCUACCUGUUGGACGCCCUAAAAGCUCAAAGUGGAAUACCUGGGAUGACCACGGCAACCCUGUACGGCUUCCUACAUGGGCUUACAAGUGGGACUUGGUAUGAGAGGUGGCAAGCGAAGUGAACCUAUUGUACAAGCAAUACACCAACGAGAUGGAUUCGCUUACCCCCGAGCAGGUAAGAUGGUUUCAGAGUUGACUUCCAGCUUUUAUGUUGUGAGUAAAAUGAAUUUUGCCUUUUAUGUUGUGUUGUAGGUGGAAUGGCAGCCAUAUGGUGCCGGGCAAAACUUUGGUGAUGCACACACGUUCGAGCUCAAUCCACUAUGCGUGCAGGAAAAACAUCUUUGGCUAAUGCGUUGUCCCCUUAUAUGCAAUUGGGCGGUUGAGUUUCAUCUCCCGCAUCGUGUGAUGCAUCAAUUUGGGUUCUUUCAGCCACACCCGCCAGAGUGGGUGGACACGGACACACAGCUUCACAGGUAACAAAAAAGAAGUACUGAUUAGUUUUGUUAUUAGUGUUGAGCGAGCUACUGAUGGGUUUUGUUAAAAGCAGGUUGGAUAGGAGGAGGCAGCGAAAGAUCAAGGAUUGGCAUAAGCAUCAUAAGAGCUAUGUCAUUAUGUUCGAGCAAAGUGUGCAGGCAGCUUCGAGCAUACAACGAACCCAGUACCGCCAGCAUUGUUCGCUUGCGUUCAACAACUACCUAAGAUGGUUUCAGGAGAGUACUCGUGUCGAGAUUUGUCCGCCGGCUUACGAGGAGGACAUAUUGGAAGAACCCACUGAGUACGAUGCACUUGCCCAAGACGAUUACAACAAGUUAAUUCGCGAAGGGUACCAAACUUCCUUCGCCCCUGUCCUGAACUUUGUGGUAAGUGUGCUCACCUAUGUUAAGUAUGAAUGCUAGUACACCUAUUCGCUUGCAUUUCAUUGUCUUGUGAUCAUAGCGCAAAGAGGUCAAGAAACAAGUUGAUGAGUCCGAAGAUAUUCUAGAGAAGACACCUGGAGGGAAAAAGGGAGAAUCUGCACUUCGUCUUUUCAUAAAGGUGUUGUGUCAUUAUUAUUAUUUUGCCCACGAAUGCAACAUACGGUACCUUAUAUAUGUCAUUUAUAUUUGAAUCUAACAGGAACAGGGCAAGAAGUUACGGCGCCUAUCCAACAUUUUAGGUUGCCGUGACCCUGAAUAUGUUUCACCUUCGAGAUCCGGUUCAUCCGAAAGAAAUACUCUAGACGAUUCAGCUUCUUCGGGCGCUCGUAUGGACGAUGGUGACAUUACCUCGGCAGCUAAUACCCAAAGAAAUACUAUAGAGGAUGAUGUUGACACUCCUGAGGUAUGACAUAGCCAUAAAACAUUGUGCACUUUCAACCUUCAACUUUGAACUUUCAACCUUCAUAUGUAUUAGGUUGCGGAUGGGAUGACGUUGAAGGCUUUCCAACGCUCCGCUUACAUGUUGAAGCCUAGGAAGGGAUGUAGGCGGUACUCACAGGAUGAUUAUGCGAAAGGAAAGAACCCGGUCGCCGGGGGCUCUCGUUUGUCAAGGAUGAGAAGCAUGGACGAUGAGGAUGACGAUGACGAUGACGAUGAGUCGGAUGACCCGGAGCAAUUUGUAGUUUCGAGAAGAAAGAAGCUAGUUUCUAAGAGGGGACGAGGCGCCAAGAUGUGAACCGGAGCCAUUUGGAGUUUUCAAUCAUUUCCAAACCAUUUCACUUUUGUUGUUGGUGUUGAUGUUGCACUUGUGAACCAUUAGGAGUUGGGAACUUGUGUUGUUGGUGUUGAUGUUGCACUUGUGAACAAUCAUUUGCACUUGUUGGUGUUAGAUUCAAAUAUAAAUGUGAACUUCUGUUAUUUGUGUUGCUGUCAUAUGUUUUAAAUUUCUGUCAAAGCUGUCAAAAUAUGUGAUGUCAAAAUGCUGCAUACCUGUCAAAAUUCAGCUUCCAGCAGGUUUUCACAUGUGUGGCCUAAGGCUUAGGCGCCACAUGUGGCGCCUAAGCCUUAGGCGCCACACAUGUGAAAACCUGCUAGCAUCUCAAAGCACACUAUUUCCCGCCACCUUUCCCUCCUCCGUUCUCCCCAAAUUUUGAGCACACCCUUUCCCGCCACCUUUCCCUCCUCCGUUCCCGCCAAAAUUUCCACGUCUUCUUUCCCACCACCUUUCCCUCCUCCGUUCCCGCCAAAAUUUCCACGUCUUCUUUCCCGCCACCUUUCCCUCCUCCGUUCCCGCCAAAAUUUCCACGUCUUCUUUCCCGCCACCUUUCCCUCCUCCGUUCCCGCCAAAUUUUCGACGUCUCUUUUUCGGUCUAUAAAAGGAGGCAUUGGACUGCCUUCCUCCGUCAUCCAGCCUCACUUGAGAACACUACCACCGCUUUAGUCAAUAUGAGUUUGCCUUGCUCGGAUCAAAGCAUCAGGCCUAAGAAAAUGAAGAGUGUGAGUUUGCCUCAGGGGGUGGAAGCAGUUCGAUGUUGGUGCGGUGAUCUCUGCAAGGUGAAGGAGGUGGAAGAUUUUUCAGAUUGGUUGGGCAUGAAAUUUUUCAUGUGCGCCAAUUAUGAAUCUGAUCCACCCGAAUCUAUUUCUGCGUACAUCAGGCCCCCGGUAUGCUCAAGUCAUCCAGAUUAUUGUUUACUUGAAUCUGAUCCAUCCGGUAGUCUCCUCCUCCUCUCUGCAUGUACUAUCGUUGGAUUGACACGGAAAUGCCGGACUGGGCGGUGACCGAGAUUCGUGAAAGAGGUCGCCGUGCAUGGGCUAGCUGGGACUUGGAAGAGCGCCGCGAGAAGGCUGAAGCAGAGGAGAAAGCAGCGCAGAAGAAAGAGUGGGAAGAGUACUGUGUGGAGCAGAGGGCUUUUCUUGAUGAGAUGAUAAGGAAAAACCAAGAAGAGAAACUACAGUUGGAGGAGGUUUACAGACAGCGGGAACAAGCCCGUGAAGCUGAGAGGGAGAGAAAGAGAGAAAGAGCUCGUGCGGCCAAGGCAGCAGAAGAAGCCAAUGAUGGAAAAGGAAAAUAUCCACGUUGGACUCAGUAGAUUUCACGAAGUUGUAUGAGCAAGUUGUAUCUUAAUUUCAGCAAGUUGUAUCUUCAUUUCAGCAAGUUGUAUCUUAAUUUCACCAAGUUGUAUCUUAAUUUCAGCAAGUUGUAUCAGCACGUUGUAUCUUACUUUGUUUGUAAUCUUAAGAUAGGCUCAACCUAAAUAAUAUGUGUGAGUCAUGGCAAAGCACUUGAGAAGACUAAGAUAAGGAUAAGGAUCAACAUAGUCUGGAUGAAAUGAGAAACAUAGUCUUGAUGAAAUGAGAAACAAAGUGCAAGACAUAUCCUCAUGAACAUAGUCUUGAUGAAAUGAGAAACAUAGUCUUGAUGAAAUGAGAACAAAGUGAAACUAAGAUAAGGAUGAGCAUUACUCAUCAAAAGAGUAGCCAAGUUAUCUGGUACUCUGUUUCACUUGUGUGGCACCUAAGCCUUAGGCGCCACACAUGUGAUGUGUGGCGCCUAAGGCUUAGGCGCCACACAUGUGCAACGCCCAAGGCUUAGGCGCCACACAUUCUGGCAUGCUGAAAACUGCAGCACGUAGUGGUGGAGGAGUUCAAAUAUACAUCACAAAUAUGCACAAAUAUACAACACAAUAAUACUAGAAUUAAAACAUACAACACAAAGAGGGUGGAGUUCAAACAUACAUAGGGUUCGUAAAGAACAUACGUCCAAAAGUGCAUACAUAGUGGAGUUUCAUAGUAAGAAAGCGCGCAAGCGAACAAGGUUCAACAACACAUAGGGUUCAACAACACAUAGGGUUCGAAGAUGAAAGCGCGCAUGAGAAUAGAAGCAUCCGACUCUAUUGGGUUGAGCAAGGCCCCUUUCCCUUCUUCUUCUUCCUCUCUUCUUCCUCUUCCUCUUCCCUUUUGCGCAUUUUUGAAGCCUCUUCCUUAACCCUCUCCGUGAAGCGUUGAUGCUCCCGCUCUCUCUUUGUUGCGCCCUCUGCCAUCAUCUUCUUAAAGUUAGCUUCAUAUUCUUUUUUACGUUUCUCUAGCGUCUUCCUGUCAUUCUCCUUUAUCCUAGCCUCAUAUCUCCGGCGCUCAAGUUCCAUUUGCCACUGCUCAUCCAUCCUUGCCUUAUGCUCCUCAUCCUUCUUCUUUCGCGCUUCGGCUGCAUCCUCCUCUCUCAACUUCUUUGCAGCCCUCUCCAUCAACCGCUGCUCCUCACUGGCUGCAUCCUUCUCCUCCCCCACUCCGCUUUUGCCUUGUUGGGUUGAGAAGCGGCCAUACCUACAAAACAGGCAUCAAAGCUCAUAGUUAGUAAAAUAACACACAAAGGAGCAUGGAAAACAACAUGAUAAAGAUAAGUCAAAUAUGUGACAUACGGAAAUGGUCCUCGUAGGUAUCCACGCAUACCAAUCCUAGUAAGUCCACCACAUAUCCCACCACUGCCUCUAGAAGCACCACCACCUAUCCCACCCCUGCCUCUAGCACCACCACGAUCUAUCCCACCCCUACCUCUAGCAGCACCCCUGCCUCUACCACCACCACUGCCUCUAGCACCACGUCCUCUAGUAAGCCCAAGUCGGCUAGGAACAUGUUGAGUAGGAACUUGUUGGGUUGUGCUUGCUUGACCCGUCCCUUGUUGGCUCGUGCUUCCUUGACCCGUCCCUUGUUGGCUUGAACUUGGUUGGCUUGACCUGGAAUCAUUGUUUUUGGACUUCUUCUUUCGCGUCGUACACCUUCUUGUGUUGUGCCCUGUUACACCGCACUCUCCACAAUGUGAUCUCUCAGUGGGCUCUUGGAAUUGGUUGUUCCCCAUUUCUCUGCCACCACCAUGGCCCCAUCCAUCCAUGUCUCCUCUAAAACGCUUUGUCUUUCGUCUUCCCAGUUUCACAACCUUCCACUCUGGGUCAGGCCAUAGUUGUACUCCAUGAUACUCCAGCCAUUGUGAUUGGUCAAAGUAUGGUUCAAAUCUAGGAGCCCAUGUAUGCUUCGUGGUCAUGAUCGAGAACUCGGACUCCCUCACGGUUAGUGGAUGGUUGACGUCCACAUUCCUACUGCGAGCUGCCGUGUACAAAUGCGAGCAUGCGAGAUGAAGCAACCUUGGCCUCCCACAAGAGCAAUCACACAAGGAUAAAGAUACCUUGAACGCCCUGUUUCCGUGUUGCUGGCCAUCGUUUGUUGUUCCUCCGGGCUCAUUCACUUGGUAUGUCCAAUCCUCGUUGUUGUACAGGGUAGCCGUUUGGGAGUCAGCCUUUCGUGAUUGAAAUACCAUCCAUUUGUCAACCUUUGGUGGAAACUGGUACUUGUACUUUUCCUUGUUCUCUCCCGCAAUCUGAUCAUUUGUUUCUUGCGAGUACUUUAGAAAGUAUGCUCUCAACUUGUCGAAUGUGUAUUGAACUAUUGCCGUCACCGGCAACGCACGGACACCCGGUUGAAGCAUUCUGCCAUGUUACUUGUCAUUUGACCAUAUCUUCGGCCAUCUUCGUCAUAAGCUCGUGCCCACUUGGCCCGAAGUUCAAUGUCCAUGUUCAGAAACUCAAGCCCACCUGCAUCAAGUUUUUUGUUUACAAGCAAAGCAUUGUACAAUCUUGCAAAUCGUUUGUCCGAAAAUGCUUGACAACAAUCUUGAAGAUCAUCCGCCAACUCCUUGCUACCACAUGCCCGGUAGAAGUUUGCACAAAAAUGCCUCAUGCACCAUCGAUGAUGCAAAGGAGCAUGGCCGGGAAUGACAAUGUCAACCGUGUUAAGUAUGCCUUGAUGGCGAUCCGAUAUGACACAUAUUUCCCUCUCAAACGGUAAUACUUUGGUUCUCAAAAUAUGCAAGAACCAUUCCCAGUUAACAUUGUUCUCUGCCUCAACCAAAGCAAAAGCCAAAGGCAUCAACCGGUUAUUGGCAUCACUUGCUAUUGCAACCAACAAAGUGCCCUUGAAUUGUCCGGUCAAAAACGUGCCAUCGAUGGAGAUGACAGGACGACAGUGCUGGAAAGCCCUCACACAUUGCUCAAAUGCCCAAAAUGCACGACCAAAUACGCGGACCCUAUUUCCAUUGAGAAUCCUUGUUUUCUCCCCAUACGGCUCGACCACAUGAACCAUGCCCGGGUUAGUGUGGGCAAUAGCUCCCAACAACCUAGGUAUGCGGUUGUAUGCUUCCUCCCAAUCACCAUACAACAUCUUGAAUGCGGCUUGCUUUGCUUUCCAUGCCUUACCAUAUUUCACACCGUAGUGAAAGAGGGCUUUCACAAGGUCUUGUACGCUUUUUAUGCUCAUUGUAGGAAGAGAGGAGAUGGAGUUGGAAAGCCUAUAAGCGAUGAACUCGGAGGUGAGUUGUCUAUGGCUUUGCGAUGAAAGGGCACCAUCAACCCUCUUGCCUCGACACAUGUGAGGCAUACAACUGACAAUGUUCCAUCCUGGCCCUCCUUUCCAUGGUCUUGCACGGACAAUCCAAGGACACCCUCUAUCCUCACAUGCAACCGUGUAACGCAGCUUCAUGUUUGAAUGAACAACUCUGUGUGGCCUAUAAUGCGUAACAGAAUAUUCAUCCAACCACAUCUUCAGUUCAAAGAAUGUCUCGAACUUUGACCCCGGCAAAAUAAUAUUCUUCCCAUGUGUGUCCCGAUGAGAAGGUGGCCUAACUCCAAACAAUAUGCCUUCGCCUCCGUCAACCACGGCUUCAUCCGCAAGGCUAAGAUCCUCGAACAAUGGUGUCCGGUGAUCACGCUUUAAUACCUUCAUGGAAGCUUCGGCCUCCUUUGCCGUGAACCCUUCCUCAUCAACUUCUUCAUCGGGACCCUCAUCGUCAGACUCAGAGGCAUAGCCACGUGAGUACGGAAUAGAAUGGUCCAUUGUCUCUUGCAAAUUAUAUUUGUCCAAAUCACCAAGAUUGUUGUCAUGAAGAACAUUACCAUCAUUCUCAUCAUCAUCGUGCUCAUCAUUAGCCUCUACCAAUGGUUCAUGUUCAAUGUUGACCUAUUCGUUGGCCUCAUCGACAUAAGAAAGAGGUUCAAUGUUGGCCUCUUCGUUGAUGGGUGCAGGAAUAGCUUCAACAAUCGGAGAGGCAACCCGGUUCAAAUCCAACAAGUUAGGAACAUUUGUUUUGAUGGCAAAUAACUCUAGAGCCUUGUCUAGUGAUUCGGCCACCGUAUCCUUGUAUGCAAGCCAACGUUGCUCGGAGUUGACACGCAUGGUAUUCCAACGAAUGUGCAUUCCGAAUCCCACAUUAUGCCUACCAUCAAACUCAACUACAUCACUAGGGUCCAUCCAAUUCAAAUCCUUUCGGACUUGUUCCAACAAUUCACCAUAGCUAGGACACAAAUCGAACACCAUGUCAAGCUCAUCCGGGUCCGGAUCAAUAUUGCCUUUUAAAAAGGCAUCCUUGUCCACGUGAUGAACAUAAACACAUGUUCUUUCCAUCCCUAAACAAAAAAAUAUAGAACCUUUUUUAUAAGCAAUCAUACAAUUACAAUAACCCUAGCCUAACUUCCAAACAACCAUAACCCUAACCCCAUCAUAACCCUAACACAACCAAACAUCCCUAACCCUAGCCUAACCAUAGCCUAACCCUAGCCUAACCCUAAAACAACCAUAAUGCAAACAUCCAAACAACCCUAAUCCUAACCCCAUCAUACCCCUUAUCCUAACAUACAAACAAAUACAACAAUAUCAUAUACAUCCCAUAAUUCAUGAAAAACUAGGGUUUCCUCAAAUUUGCAAAAAAAAGACCACAAAAGAUUUUUCUUUGGAUGAGAAUGAGGGGAGAGGUGGGGAUUACCUUAGGGGAGUGAUUGGACAACAAAUGCCCGGUCCAAACCUUCAGAUUUGGUGAUUUAGAGAAGGAUUUGAGGGAGGGGCCAGUGGGUCGGAGAGGGGGUUGGGGGAGGGGAAUGAGGAGGGGGUGGGGAGGGGGGGCUGGCCCAUGGCCUGUUAAGUCAAUGUGUGGCGCCUAAGCGUUCGGCGCCACACAUUACAAUGUGUGACGCCUGAGGCUUAGGCGUCACACGGCCUGGGGGGUGGGCCCUGUUGGAAUUAUGCCCUAGAGGCAAUAAUAAAUAUAGUUAUUAUUAUAAUUUCUGUAUCAAGAUAAUCGUUUAUUAUCCAUGCUAUAAUUGUAUUGAAUGAAGACUCAUUUACAUGUGUGGAUACAUAGACAAAACACCGUCCCUAGCAAGCCUCUAGUUGGCUAGCCAGUUGAUCAAAGAUAGUCAGUGUCUUCUGAUUAUGAACAAGGUGUUGUUGCUUGAUAACUGGAUCACGUCAUUAGGAGAAUCACGUGAUGGACUAGACCCAAACUAAUAGACGUAGCAUGUUGAUCGUGUCAUUUUGUUGCUACUGUUUUCUGCGUGUCAAGUAUUUAUUCCUAUGACCAUGAGAUCAUAUAACUCACUGACACCGGAGGAAUGCUUUGUGUGUAUCAAACGUCGCAACGUAACUGGGUGACUAUAAAGAUGCUCUACAGGUAUCUCCGAAGGUGUUAGUUGAGUUAGUAUGGAUCAAGACUGGGAUUUGUCACUCCGUGUGAACGGAGAGGUAUAUCGGGGCCCACUCGGUAAUAAAACAUCACACACAAGCCUUGCAAGCAAUGUAACUUAGUGUAAGUUGCGGGAUCUUGUAUUACGGAACGAGUAAAGAGACUUGCCGGUAAACGAGAUUGAAAUAGGUAUACGGAUACUGACGAUCGAAUCUCGGGCAAGUAACAUACCGAAGGACAAAGGGAAUGACAUACGGGAUUAUAUGAAUCCUUGGCACUGAGGUUCAAACGAUAAGAUCUUCGUAGAAUAUGUAGGAUCCAAUAUGGGCAUCCAGGUCCCGCUAUUGGAUAUUUACCGAGGAUUCUCUCGGGUCAUGUCUACAUAGUUCUCGAACCCGCAGGGUCUGCACACUUAAGGUUCGACGUUGUUUUAUGCGUAUUUGAGUUAUAUGGUUGGUUACCGAAUGUUGUUCGGAGUCCCGGAUGAGAUCACGGACGUCACGAGGGUUUCCGGAAUGGUCCGGAAACGAAGAUUGAUAUAUAGGAUGACCUCAUUUGAUUACCGGAAGGUUUUCGGAGUUACCGGGAAUGUACCGGAAAUGACGAAUGGGUUCCGGGAGUUCACCGGGGGGGCAACCCACCCCGGGGAAGCCCAUAGGCCUUGAGGGUGGCACACCAGCCCUUAGUGGUCUGGUGGGACAGCCCAAAAGGGCUCUAUGCGCCAUAGAGAUAAAAAUCAAAGAGAAAGAAAAAAAAGGGAGGUGGGAAGGAAGGGAAGGACUCACACCCACCAAACCAAGUCCAACUCGGUUUGGGGGGGGGGGAGGUCCUCCCCCCUUGGACUCGGCCGACCCCCUUGGGGCUCCUUGAGCCCCAAGGCAAGGUCCCCUCCCUCCCACCUAUAUAUACGGAGGUUUUAGGGCUGAUUUGAGACGACUUUUCCACGGCAGCCCGACCACAUACCUCCACGGUUUUUCCUCUAGAUCGCGUUUCUGCGGAGCUCGGGCGGAGCCUUGCUGAGACAAGGUCAUCACCAACCUCCGGAGCGCCGUCACGCUGCCGGAGAACUCUUCUACCUCUCCGUCUCUCUUGCUGGAUCAAGAAGGCCGAGAUCAUCGUCGAGCUGUACGUGUGCUGAACGCGGAGGUGCCGUCCGUUCGGUACUAGAUCGUGGGACUGAUCGCGGGAUUGUUCGCGGGGCGGAUCGAGGGACGUGAGGAGGUUCCACUACAUCAACCGCGUUCACUAACGCUUCUGCUGUACGAUCUACAAGGGUACGUAGAUCACUCAUCCCCUCUCGUAGAUGGACAUCACCAUGAUAGGUCUUCGUGCGCGUAGGAAAUUUUUUGUUUCCCGUGCGACGUUCCCCAACAGUGGCAUCAUGAGCUAGGUUCAUGCGUAGAUGUCUUCUCGAGUAGAACACAAAAGUUUUUGUGGGCGGUGAUGUGCGUUUUGCUGCCCUCCUUAGUCUUUUCUUGAUUCCGCGGUAUUGUUGGAUUGAAGCGGCUUGGACCGAUAUUACUCGUACGCUUACGAGAGACUGAUUUGAUCGCUACGAGUAACCCCGUUGCUCAAAGAUGACUGGCAAGUGUCAGUUUCUCCAACUUUAGUUGAAUCGGAUUUGACCGAGGAGGUCCUUGGAUGAGGUUAAAUAGCAACUCAUAUAUCUCCGUUGUGGUGUUUGCGUAAGUAAGAUGCGAUCCUACUAGAUACCCAUGGUCACCACGUAAAACAUGCAACAACAAAAUUAGAGGACGUCUAACUUGUUUUUGCAGGGUAUGCUUGUGAUGUGAUAUGGCCAAUGAUGUGAUGUGAUAUAUUGGAUGUAUGAGAUGAUCAUGUUGUAAUAGAAAUAUCGACUUGCACGUCGAUGGUACGACAACCGGCAGGAGCCAUAGGGUUGUCUUUAUACUAACGUAUGUGCUUGCAGAUGCGUUUACUAUUUUGCUAGGAUGUAGUUUUAGUAGUAAUAGCAUGAGUAGCACGACAACCCCGAUGGCAACACGUUGAUGGAGAUCAUGGUGUGGCGCCGGUGACAAGAAGAUCGUGCCGGUGCUUUGGUGAUGGAGAUCAAGAAGCACGUGAUGAUGGCCAUAUCAUGUCACUUAUGAAUUGCAUGUGAUGUUAAUCCUUUUAUGCACCUUAUUUUGCUUAGAACGACGGUAGCAUUAUGAGGUGAUCUCUCACUAAAAUUUCAAGACGAAAUUGUGUUCUCCCCGACUGUGCACCGUUGCUACAGUUCGUCGUUUCGAGACACCACGUGAUGAUCGGGUGUGAUAGACUCAACGUUCACAUACAACGGGUGCAAAACAGUUGCGCACGCGGAACACUCGGGUUAAGCUUGAAGAGCCUAGCAUGUGCAGACAUGGCCUCGGAACACAUGAGAUCGAAAGGUCGAUCAUGAAUCAUAUAGAUGAUAUGAUUAGCAUAGGGAUGCUUACCACUGAAACUAUACCCAACUCACGUGAUGAUCGGACUUGAGCUAGUGUAAGUGGAUCCUCUCCCNNNNNNNNNNNNNNNNNNNNNNNNNNNNNNNNNNNNNNNNNNNNNNNNNNNNNNNNNNNNNNNNNNNNNNNNNNNNNNNNNNNNNNNNNNNNNNNNNNNNAUGCAAAAACAUUUUUGGAAUUUGAAGAAUAAUUUUUGAAAAUCCAAAACUUUUUUGAAAUAUAAACAGAAAAGAAAAAAAAUAGAAAAGCAGAAAAAGAAAAAUAAAAAAUAAAAAUGAAAAACCAGUUUAGGGAACCUUAUAGAAGUUUACCAAAACCAGAAAAAACUGGCUGGGAACCUAUAGAAGGUUUGCAAAACCAGCAACAACGCCUAGAGAUGUUUCGACUGAAUGGGCCGACCCAGUCACAAGAAUCACUCGAUCUGUCUAUACAAAGCCUCGACUCCCUGGUGUAGAAUGCGAUAAAUAGGAAAUUCCUUGUUCACCAGCGCCUAGCAUGCCAAAUAGGGUUGCCUUUAACGGGCGCUACAGGUGCCAAAUAAGAUUUUGAUAUUUAUUACUCGGCUUUUCUUAUUACUCGGCCUUUCUCUUGUCUCUGCCCGGUUCAGCUCGAGAGAGCAACUAGUUGGAGAGCAUUUUUUCGGGAGCCUUUCAAUAAUCAUUCACAUACGUCAUCAUUUAGUCAGAUGUCACGCUCUGAACUUUUUUAUAUUUUACUUUUUUCUAAAAAAAUCACACGUGUUUUUGGCUGUUUAGAUUGAUUUUUUUUUUUUUGUGUUUCAUUUUCACCAGUGUUUCUGAGCUUUUGGUUGAACAUAUAACUAAAAAAAAUACAGAAAAAACGCUUUUUUUGUUCUUUUUUCGCGAUAGGCACGGUUUUAGUUCUACGAAAGGCACGGCUUGCUUUCGCAAGAGAUACCUCCGUGCCUCUCGAAAACAAAAAAACAUGUUUAUCUGUUUUUUUCAUGAGAGACACGGUUUUGUUUUCGUGAGAGUCACAACCGUGCAUAUCAUAAACGAAUAUACAUACAUAUAUAUAUAUAUAUAUUAUGAGAGGAAUGAUUUUGUUUUCACGAGAGGCAUGGCCGUGUCUUUCAAAACAAAAAAGAAACGUUUUUAAAAAAAAAAUUCAUGAGAGGCACACUCGUGCCUUUCGAAAACGGAACAAAAAAUACAUUUUCUGUUUUUUUGCGAGAACCAGGUCGUGACUCUCAAAAACAAAGAACAUGAUUUCUCUUUUUUUAUCCGACUUUUUUCAUGAAUUUUUUUAUCAAAAUCUAUCAAAAUAAAUUUUAGUUCUCAAGAUCUCAACGCGAGGAAACCAACGAUGAAAACGGUUCGAGAUUUAGACAUGCGGUUUGAAAAAAAUAAAGUAUUUUAAAAAUACAAAUCUAUGAAAAAAGAAAAGAUUGUGGGAAUGAUAUUUAAAUAUUAUUUUUUAGUUAAUGAUUUCGGUUCAGCUGUCCGUCCCAGUCCAUCACACUGUACUCGUAUCGGGUUCAAUCUGGUCAUUGUCUAAAAAACAAAACGCUUCUUCCUUCUUGAUGCUUUUUAGGUUUUGUUUGCGGGUACCACCUUAUACGUGGCCUCAAAAACAAAAAAAUAAAUCAUGCAUGAUACGUGACCCAACUUUGGUUUGUUGGUGGGGUCCCGACAUUACCAGUGACGAGCAUGAGGAGCCCACCAAUGUUCAGUGCUAGGGCCACUCACUCGGACAGGCUACCAGUCUCCCAUCUCCCGUACCGCGCAUGACGCUAGCUCAACCACACUACGGCACUACUCGCUGCUCUGUUCCUAAAUAUAAUUCUUUUUAAAAAGUUUUAUUAAAACGGCUACGUGCGAAUGUAUGGAGACAUAUAUUAGAGUAUAUAUUCAUUCAUUUUGCUUCGUAUGUAGUCCUUUAAUAAANNNNNNNNNNNNNNNNNNNNNNNNNNNNNNNNNNNNNNNNNNNNNNNNNNNNNNNNNNNNNNNNNNNNNNNNNNNNNNNNNNNNNNNNNNNNNNNNNNNNUUUUUUUUAUUUAUAAUUUAAAUAAUUUAGAAUUACAAAAACUUUUGCAUAUUAAAAAAUAGGAAUUUUGAAUAAAAUGUUGACGAAUUUUUAUUUUGAAUUAAAAAUAGGGUUCAAAAAAAGCGCUAGAUUUUUAUUUAUUUUUUGCAAAUUCCAAAACAAUGUCCAUGAAUUUAAUAAAUAUAUUACUGAUUUAUAAAAAUGUUUGUUUAUUCAGAAAAACUUCAUGCUUUCAAAAAAUGUUUGUGAAUUUAAAAUAAAAUCCUCCAACAUCAAAAAUUAUGUUCGUCUUUUCUUGAAUUGGUGGCCAAUUCAAAGAAAAUAUUUAAACCCGUUCGAAAUAUAGAAAAUAUUCACGAUUUUUAGUAAAUGUUUGUAAAUUGUAAAAAAUGUUCUUGAUUUUAAAAUCGUUCCCAUAUUUGUAAAAUUGUUCACGAAAGAUCUAAUGUAUGUAGUUAAACAUUAAUGCUUCUAAGUCUUUGUGACAAUAUACCUGUGUGAAUUUUGAAGAAUUAACUAUUGGAUGGAUCGGAUUAUUAUUGUAUGUUUUAUAAAAAAAUCUUAGAAAUUCAGAAUAAAUCUUUGAGUUACCAAGAUUUUUGACACAUGAUAUUUUUUAAAAAAUGUAAAGAUUGCUUCAAUUUGUGAAUAAAUUUAAAAGAAGAAACAUUUUCUUGCGUUUGUGCACAAAAUUUCUAAAUCAAGCGAUGAUAUAUGAAUAUAAUGUGGUCAUCAUCUUUGGAGAUUAUGGUUUUUUUUGUGGCAACGCACGAACCAUUUUGCUAGUGGAUACAUAUGGGGCGAGGGAGCACAAAGGGUGAUGAUUGUACCAUGGGCUGGGCUAUGCAUCGUCGAAACUAACUGCCUAGAGUGGAGAUGACUGAAAAUUUCUCAUGUUUCAGAUUAUUUUGUGUAUGGACACAUUAAAAUGCAGUUGAAGCAAUUGCACGUAAAAUCAGAGGGCAGUCACGCACCAAAAACGGAAACUUAGGAAACACAAUAUAAAUGUGAAAGAAAAUAAACCUAAUACGAACCUACAAAAGUGGUUGAAACUUCAUAAAAUGACCGAAACAUUAUUGAACAAAGGUCGGCCAAUGUCACAAAAAAUUUGAUUAUUUUUAAUUAUUCUGAAUUUACUGUUCAUUUAAUGGGUGGAUCAAGAUGGAUGCAGCCACUACUUUCCCUAUUGCAGGAAUUCAUGAAGUGGAGAAGAUGAAGCGCCAUGGUAGUCAAAUGUUACUUAUUACCAGCAAGCUGACACCGGUGACGGUGGCGAAGGAGGUGGAAAUGGACGCGCCGGCGAGGGGCAGCUCGCCGAGGUGCCCGACGAACAUGACGGAGAUGGUCUGGAUCAGGUUCUGCAUCAGGCUGCCGACGACGAGCGGGCCGGCGAGCCACAGCUGCCGCCUCACCUCGUCGCCCACCGUCAAGCUCUCCCCUCCUGGCUCCUUGCAGCCCCGGCNNNNNNNNNNNNNNNNNNNNNNNNNNNNNNNNNNNNNNNNNNNNNNNNNNNNNNNNNNNNNNNNNNNNNNNNNNNNNNNNNNNNNNNNNNNNNNNNNNNNUCACUUGCUUGGGCUCAUUUCUUCUCAUCUCAUUAAUACACGUCUUUUUUUUGGUGGGGUAAAUAGAUACACGCUUUUAGACUCCUCAUUCCUAAAUACUACGAGCCUUUUAAGGUUUCACUAAAAGACUAUAUAUGAAUGUAUAUAUACAAACUUUAGAUUGUAGAUGCACUCAUUUUGCUUUGUAUAUAGUUUUUUAAUGGAUGUUUUUAAAAGACUUAUAUUUAGGAGUGAAGGGAGUAGAUUGUAAACAAGGUUUCUAUGUUUAUGCAAAAAUAAUACUAUGUAGAACGGGCUGGGCAAAAUUGACCCUCAAACAUCCGCGGACAAGUUUACUCAGUCUCGUGUGCGUUCGGUUUUAAGCCCUUAUGUAUCAAUGCGUGUAGCCAUGACCUCAUUUUUUCUCUCUCUAUAUGUCUAGUCACAUGCAUAUGAUUAGCGAGACGAAAAGAAAGAAAAUGAAAAAAGAAUAAAGUAAGAGAAAAUAUGGUCUACGAUGAGUCAAAUCCUAUGUGGGAACUGACCUGACAGACAAGACCGGACGCUCCUCAUAUGACCCCUGCCUAUGGGCUGAGUAUGAGGUUUUACAUAUACUCGGACAUGUAUAUGAGGACAAAACAAGGGAUCUGAUCGGGUCGGUUUUUUUCCUUCUCUCUCAUGUCCGUUUAGUGAUCGGGGCGUCUACCGGGUUAAUUUGAGGGGAUCGGCUGUGGAUGCGCUUGCAUAUUUGCUAAUCCAUCCAUCCUGAGGGCAUAUUAGAUUGUUAUUUUUCAUAGUUAAACUUUGUAAAACUUUGGUGUAGUUCAUGGAAAAAAAAUAAAACAUCUAGAAUAUCAAAUGUAUACCAUUAGACUCGUCAUGGAUAUAUUUUUUCUUUAUUAACUUGGUCAAAGCUUGCGAAGCUUUGACUUUUAAGAAAACUAUUGCACGCUCUUUUUUUUAAAACGAAGCGAGUACCAUCAAGUUUUAGAGUAGGCAUCAAUGGUUUCUGCAAAAGGUAAAGUUGAGCCGGAGGUCCUUUGUGAAAACAUAUGCAAAGUGUUGGAUUUAUGUGAAUUUGGAUGCAAUUGUGGUGUUUUCUAGUUAAUCUUGCAUGCUUUUUUANAACUUUUUUUUACUAUAUUUUGGCUCUCUCAAAUUUGGAUGCAAUUGUGGUGUCCUCUACUCUCUCUCUCUCUCCUUGUGUAGAUACACAUGUUUGAGUGGCAAAUCUGACUAUUGGGUUAUGAGAAAAGCGAGGGCAAAUGUAAACAAAUCACUUACACUAAAUAAACGCCUUCCGCGUAUGAGACGACGUUGGGACCAAACAUCGAAUAUGCCAAUUUAGGCUCAAGAAGUCAAGAGCCNNNNNNNNNNNNNNNNNNNNNNNNNNNNNNNNNNNNNNNNNNNNNNNNNNNNNNNNNNNNNNNNNNNNNNNNNNNNNNNNNNNNNNNNNNNNNNNNNNNNGUGACAAGGAAAGGCAACAAGCCUGAAGAAAUGCUGCUUGAAGCAGCAGCAACCACAUCCAUCACACCCAGAAGCUUCUAAUGACACACAACACAACAGUGCCUCACCUCCAUCAUGAUCAUCACCAUCACCAUCCUCAUCAGAGAGGUGAGCUGAGCUGAGCUGAGUGAGUGGUUUUGUGUCUCUGCACUGCAACUUGCAGAAAAGGUAAGGCAGAAAAGCACAAGCACCCAGCACACAAGUUGGCCAAAAAACAAAACGUUUUGUGCCAUUCUCUACUGCUUGUCACGGGGAGAGGGAGGGAUCUGCCUCAUAUCUGUGGAUGCUCUGCCUUUUCUCAAUGAGGGAAAGAUGAACAGGGCCAAAAAGGAGGCAGGGAAAGAUUUUGCAGAAGUUGAUGGAAAAAGGAGGCAGCCAAAGCAUGAGAUGCCAAAGCUAGUGCAAGUCUGACUCAUUUUCAAUUCCAUUGCUUGGUGGAUCCAGCAUCAUCAUCAUCAGUAUUAGUAGUAGUAGAGAUCUAUACAAGAGAAUAUUUUCCUGUUUUUUUAAAGGACCUAAUUGCACACAAACAAUGCAACGGUCAAUCCACAAGGUUGGAAAAAGAUGGAGAUGCAAUCAGUUAAAAAGUUGACCAGGUGAGCAAGGCAGGUACUAAAUGCUGGGUGACUCACUGCAAACUCAUUUUGGUUUAUCCGAAAAAAUUACACUCGUAAACAUCCGAGGCAGGUUAUAUAUGCUUGAAUGAAUGGAUAAAUGAUAGAUGUGGAUAGGUAUGUAUGUGUGAGAUGUUGCAUGAGGAGUAGGGUUUCCAAUAACAUGAGAGCUGACCAGAAAGCAGGAUCCAAGAAGAUUGAAAACAAGUCCACUUGACAAUGUGCAUGAUCAGUACUGAGCACUAGUAUUCCCUGUCUGCUCGUCUCAAGAUACUACAGCAUCAAGCAGGUUCUUGACAAUCUUUUCCCUUACAUUCUCAGUAUCCACACCAGAAAUUAUGGACUAGUACCAAGCAUCACCAGCAUCAUACCUCUCUCUCUGCUAUGUUCUGAAAAAUCCCCAUAAUCAAUUACUUACUCCAAUAAUAAUACAGGCAGUGAAGCUACAGCAAAGGCCAUAUUACACUAGGCUUCUGGUCGGUUUUCGUUGAAAUGGAUCGAACGGUUGCAUCUUCUAAUACAACAUACUCCGGUUCGCGGCCAGCUGAUCAUGUAGAGGACCACACUGAAGACCCUGAUCUUGCAAACCCAUGCCAUAGCUCGGCAUCCCCAUCGUCCGGCUCGGCGAGUUGUAUGGCGCAUUCGCUCCGCCGUGCUGCUUGGUGUCNNNNN